rnacentral:lncRNA from 1 species
GUGGUGGUGGCGGUGGCGGUGGUGGUGAUGGUGGUUGCGGUGGUGAAGACAAUUGUAGUGGUUGUUUUUCUCUUUGUUGUGGAGAUGGUGGAUGUUUUGACUGUUGUUGAGCAGAUGGUUGUGGUGAUGGCGGAUAACCAUCACGUUCUCAGCAAGGGCAGCAACUGCACCGAUUGAAUCCCACCAGAAUGCAUACGUUAUUUAGUUUUAUUUUAGAAUAUCAAGGUACUACCAGUAUAAAAGCGUUAUCCAAAUUUAUUUUUAAAAACUAUUUUUUAUUUUUUAACUUAAAAAACAAAUUUAAGAAAACAUGAUCAAUUUAAACUCAUGUUUUUCUUUUAUUUUUAAAAAUGGUUAAAAACGAUUCAACUAUUUUUCUAAAAAUUAUUCUCUAUUUAACUUUAUUUUAAAAAAUUAUUUCUAAAAAAUAAUAGUUAAAUAAUAUUAUAAAUUUUUAAAUAUAUAAAGUUGUUUUUAAAUCACACGGAUAGACUUUAAUUUUAUUAAAUUAUUAUUACUUAAAAAAAUGUGAAAAAGAAUCUUUAAUGAAUUUUAUUUUGUAGAACUUUCUAAUCAAGCAAGAAACGAUUUUGUUGAAUAAGAAUUUUAAUGGUAACCACAUGAAACAAAAAAAAAAUUGUUUUUAAAAUAUUUUAUAAUUUCUCACGUGAUUUCAAUUUUCUUCAACAAAGAAAAAAAGGUUUUUUAUAAUAAAAAAAUUCAAUUUGAAUUUUCAAAUUUAAUGUUAUGUCAAUGUUUUAAAUUUUUUUUAUUUUUAUGUAGCUGCUUUAAAUUGACGAUUGGAAGUGAAUAAAAAAAAUUAUUUUUCUCUUAUUGUCUAUUUUUUUAUAACUAUUAAGAAUGGGAUUCGCUAAAUAAUUUUCAAAUACCUGAGAAAUAGAAAAUAAAAUAAAAUAUCUCGUCUUAAGUAUCAUUUAUUCAUCACAUGAGCCUAAUUUUGAAUUAGAGGUUCAUUUCGAUUUAUUAUUUUUAUUUGUCUAAUUUUAAUUAUAUUUGAUUUAAUUUUAUAAUAUUUUAUAGUGAAACCAACUAUAAGAAUAUUUUUUUAUAUAAUUUUACUUUUUCUUUCUUUAGAUAUACUUUCUAGAAUAAGAAAUAACAAUAUGUGCGAAAAAAAAGAAAGAAUUUUGAUUAAAAUUUUUCUUUAAUAUAAGAUUAUGUUUAAUCAUGUGAUUUAAAAACAGUUUUUUGUUUUUAAAAAUAAAAAAUUAUUUUAAAAAAAAUUUAAUACCGUUUUACUAUUGUUCUUUAGAAAUAAUUUUUAAAAAUAAAGUGAAAUAGAAAAUGACUUUUAAAGAAUAAUGAGGAGCUUUUGUUAUCUGUUUUUAAAAAUAAUAGGAAAACAUGAGUCUAUUUAAUAAUGUUUUUUGAAAUUUGUUUUUAAAAAUAAUUUUUAAGUUAAAAGAAUAAAAAAUAAUUUUUAAAGGAGGAAACAUUAACAUACCAACAGUAAAAUUUUCACAAGUACGCUUGACAAUCACAUGGUCCAAUUCCAUUAAAAAUUGUAGCGGCUUGGUAAGAUGGAUGGACUUCCUAGUUUUGAAAACUAAUCAAUGUAACAAACCUUCAUCCCCAAGUAUAUAGACGCAGGGGCCUUGGAAUUUUCUUUGAAGCUUAAGAUUAAUAAGAUUUUUUAGGACAAAGAAAAACUAUUCAAACGCUAAGGUUGAGUGAGCCACACGACUCAUCAAAAUUUUGAAAAUUACACCUAGCCUGACCUUAGCCUAUAAAUAUGUCCAAUCUUCUACAACUAUAGCAUAGAUUAGAAAGAAACGAUGGCAAGAGUUUUGAUGGCAGUAGGCGGUGGAGGGGAAGUGGGCAUGAUGGCUUCGAGCUCUGGGGCUCUCUUUUUGCUUUGCAUGGUCGUUAUGUCCCUCUCAAUUCUAUCCAUGGUCAUAUUUGCUUGCGGUGAAUCUUCUAGUACUCCACAUCCCAAGAAAAGACGCCAUGGUGGAGGUGGAGGUGGAGAUGGUGGUGGUUGUGGAGGUGGCGGUGGAGGUGGAGAUGGAGGUGGAGGUGGAGGUUGCUGAAGAAAAAGCAAAAUAGUUUUUACUCAAAAUAUCCUACAAAUGUCAUAGAAUGGCCUUUUUCUUAUGAAAUAAACCUCAAAAUUAUUGUCUUCAAUGUUAGAAUCCAUGUGAGCAAGUCCUAGUAGAGGUCGAUGUAUUUGUUGGUAUUUUCUUUGUAUUGAACAUUAUUUAAUAAUAUAUAUAUGAUUGUCUUUAUCUUCUGUUUCCUUUUUAUAAAUAGCAUGAAUGUAAACAAGAUUUCAUCUUUUACAAAGUCCCUUUGACAACCGCAUGGUCCAAUACCAUUAAAAACUGUGGCAGCUUGAUAAGAUGGAUGGACUUCUUCCUAGUUUUGAAAAUGAAUCAAUUUAACAAACCUUCAUCCCCAGUAUAUAGACAAGAGGAUCAAGACCUGAGAUUUUCUGUUCCUUAUCAUGAAAAGUCAGCAUCAACAGCCAUUGUUUCUUCAUAACUUGCCGACCUCUCAAGCUUGAGAUAAAAAAAUCAAAUUUUCUUUAAAGCUUCAGAUUGAGAUUAGCAAGAUGUCUUGAGGACAAAGGAAACUUGAGUGAGCCACACGGCUUGGAGUUGACAAAAAAAAUCAAAAUUUUAAAUGUCCCAUCUUCUACAACUGUAGUAGAAAUAAUGGCAAGAGGUUUGAUGGUAGAAGCCUAGAAGGCGGUUGAGGAGAAGUGGGUAUGAUGGCUUCAAACUCCCUUACAGGUCUGCAUGGUGGCUAAAGGAUUGAAAUUUCGGUGUAUGCGUAAUUGAAUUUUACGCGUAUAUAUAUAUAUAUAUAUAUAUAUAUAUAUAUAUAUAUAUAUGUAUCGAUCAAAUAAAAUUGAUUUAAAAUUUAUGAAAGUGUUUAAAAAAAUAAUAAAAUAAAAAAUAAUAUAUAUAUUAAAAUUAUUUUAUAAAUAUAAUUACCAUAAAUAUAAUUAAAUAUAAUAUUUAUCAAAUUAUUAUAAAAAAAAAAUUAGCUUUAAUUUCUUUAAUAUAUUUAUAUUCAUUUAUUUUAAAAUUUUAAAAAUAUUUUUAUUAAAAUAUGUUUUAUUAUAUUUUAAUUUUUUAUAAAAUAUUUUAUUUGAGAUUUAAUUUUUAAAAUUUCAUUAUAAAUAUCUCGGGACAAUUUUUCUAUUAACAUUAAUUUAUUUAAAUAAUAAAAAUUAUUAAUAAUUUAUCUUAUCAAAUUAAUUUCACUUUAUAAAAUAUGAUAAUUUUAUUAUUUUUUUUAUAUUGUGGUAAUUUUUUAAAUAAAAUUAUAUUUUUAAUAUUUUAAUAUAAAAAUAUUUAAAAUUAAAUAAAAUUAAAAGGAUAAAUAAAAAAAUUAAGAGUGAAGUGAUAGUAAUUUUUAAAAAUAGAAUUAAUGAGAUAAAUAUGAAAAGUAGUUAAAAAUAAAAAGAUAAUAUAAAAUAAAAUGAUAAUAUAAAUUUAAAAUAAAAUAUAAAUUUAAAAUAAAUAAUUUAAAAAUCAAAGAACUUGGUAAAUAUUAACAAAAAAAACUUGGGUUUCUUGAAAAGUCUCAAAAAUAAUUGCUCAAAAUUGAACAAUUUUUUUGGGAAAAAACCUCCUCCACGUGUGUUUUUCGGCAAAAUUUGAGUUUUUUUUAUAGCGAAAUUUCAAUUUUUACUGAAAUAUCGGCUAUAUUGUCAUAUUUCCCAUUUUUUUGGCAACAAACCUCCGAUAUCUAAUUUCGUCGAUAUUUCAAUGAAAUAUCCCGAAAUUUCAAUCCUUAAUCCCUCUCAAUUCUAUCCAUGGUCAUAUUUGUUUGUCAUAGUCAUAGAGGAGGUGUAGGAGGAGGAGGCAGACAUGAUGGAUCAUGGAGAUGGAGGAGUUGGUUUUGGAGGUGGAGGCAUUGAUCUUGGAGGUGGAGGCGGUGAUUAUGGAGGGGGAGAUUUGGGAGGUCAAGGCAUUAAUAUUGGAGGUGGAGGCAUCGGUUUUGGAGGUGGUGGUGGUGGUUGUGGAGGGGGAGGGGUGGUGGUGGCUUUGGAGGUGGGGUUUUCUAAAGAAAAAGGAAAAUAGUUUUUACUCAUAAUAUCCUAUAAAUGUCAUAGAAUGACAUUUUUAAUAAAAUAAACCUUGAAAUUCUUGUAUCAUAGAGAUGAUAAUCUUGUCAAAAAUAUAUGUAAAAGAAAAAAACUCUCAUAUUCAACUUGAUUCAUUGUUAGUCCAUGUGAGCAAGCCGGUCGAGGUUGAUGUAUUUGUUGAUAUUUUUUUUUAUUGAAGCUUAUAAAUGGUAUAUAUCAUCUCUUAUUUUUUGUUUCCUUUUUAUAAAUAAUAUGGAUAUAAUAGAAGUUUCGCCAUUUUUUUUUCCUAAGUUAAAUGUUUUAUACUAGUAAAAAAAACCGAUAAAUGUUCAAUCGGGCACAAAAUGACAAGAGAACAAAUUUUAAGCAUUCCUAGAAGUGCUCAUAGACCAUUUAAUUUUUCCUAUUCCAAAAUUUUAGUUGGAUUAAUGUUAUGAUCCAAAUUAGAGAUGUGAUCUUUAAUUGGUUGUAUAUUUCACAUUACUUAUAAGAUAAGAUUAUUGAUCAUACUUUUAUUCAAGUUCUUCAAGACAAAAAUGGAGUCCUAGCAUUUUACAAACCAUUACUUUGUGUGUAUUAAUAAGAAGGUUUUGUUGAAGUAUAUAAAUUCAUUUUUGCCUCCAUUAAUGCUUAAUUAGUUGAGAACAUUCAUAAUGUUGAAUGAACACUUCUAAAUAUAUAUGCCAAAGAUCAAGUAUAAGGAGUUGAUUGUAAUUUUAAAAUCCUAGUUGGUUGGGUAUCAAACCACAAAAAAGUGAUUUUAGAUGUAAAGGAAAACAAAGGUGUUGAAGAUAAUAAGACCCCUUAGACUCCCUUUUUCUCUCAUGGAUGCUCUCAGUUGGAAAACAAACACAAUUUAAUUAAUCUAAUACUUCAAUUUAGGAGUUAAACCUUCUUGUGAAAUCCUUAAAGCCCUCACAAUCCAUUUGUUUGCUAAAUUAAUAGCUCAAUAAUACAAGCACAAAGUCAAAAUAGCUCUCACAACUACCCUCAAAAGGACCCUAAACUCCAAUUUUAAAGUAUCAAGACAUGAUAUUCUAAUUAAAAAUAGAGACAUUCAACUUACAAGUUGAAUAAAUCAUUAAUUAUCUAAGAUUUGAUGAUUAUUUCAUGGGCACAAGGGAGGUCUUAAAGACCCUUCUGUCCAGCCUAUGCGCUCCUCAAAAGAUAUGAAAAUUGAAUGAAAAUGAAGACUAAAAAAAAAAAAAGGGCACAAGGAAACCAUUAUUAAAAACUAAGAUUAAAGUUCAAUAUUAUAUUAAACUAAAACUUAAAAAUAAGUGCAUCUAAGUAUAAUCAAUGGAAAGAAGCUUGAGAGAUUACAAAACAAUUAAAAGGAGCAAAAACAAGAUAAAAAUUGAAGUUAUAGCAAGUCCCAAGCUUGGAGGGUUGAAAAAGAGCUCCCACCAAGGGUCCUCCUCCAAAAUCCAUUUUUCAACUACGAAAUCUCUUUAAAUAAUACCAUGUGAGUGCAUUGAAAACAAGAUAGGAGAUCUAAUGGUGGCUUUGAAAAAGUCCAAAAAUAUGAGUCCCACACGUUCUUGGAGUUCUAGAACAAAUUAACGACGGUGCUAGAGAAAAUGGCACACUUGAAAAUUGAGAUUAGCAAGAUGUCUUGACGACAAAGGAAACUUGAGUGAGCCACACGGCUUGGAGUCGACAAAAAAAAUCAAAAUUUUGAAAAUUACACUAAGCCUGGACCUAGCCUAUAAAUAUGUCCCAUCUUCUACAACUGUAGUAGAAAUAAUGGCAAGAGGUUUGAUGGUAGAAGCCUAGAAGGCGGUGGAGGAGAAGUGGGUAUGAUGGCUUCAAACUCCCUUACAGGUUUGCAUGGUGGCUAAAGGUUUGAAAUUUCGGUGUAUGCGUAAUUGAAUUUUACGCGUAUAUAUAUAUAUAUAUAUAUAUAUAUAUAUAUAUAUAUAUAUAUAUAUAUAUAUCGAUCAAAUAAAAUUGAUUUAAAAUUUAUGAAAGUGUUUAAAAAAAUAAAAAAAUAAAAAAUAAUACAUAUAUUAAAAUUAUUUUAUAAAUAUAAUUAACAUAAAUAUAAUUAAAUAUAAUAUUUAUCAAAUUAUUAUAAAUAAAAAAUUAGCCUUAAUUUCUUUAAUAUAUUUAUAUUCAUUUAUUUUAAAAUUUUAAAAAUACUUUUAUUAAAAUAUGUUUUAUUAUAUUUUAAUUUUUUAUAAAAUAUCUUAUUUGAAAUUUAAUUUUUCAAAUUUCAUUAUAAAUAUCUCGUGACAACUUUUCUAUUAACAUUAAUUUAUUUAAAUAAUAAAAAUUAUUAAUAAUUUAUCUUAUCAAAUUAAUUUCACUUUAUAAAAUAUGAUAAUUUUUUUUAUAUUAUAGCAAUUUUUUUAAUAAAAUUAUAUUUUUAAUAUUUUAAAAUAAAAAUAUUUAAAAUUAAAUAAAAUUAAAAGGAUAAAUAAAAAAAAAUAAAAGUGAAGUGAUAAUAAUUUUUUAAAAUAGAAUUAAUGAGAUAAAUAUAAAAAGUAGUUAAAAAUAAAAAGAUAAUAUAAAAUAAAAUGGUAAUAUAAAUUUAAAAUAAAAUAUAAAUUUAAAAAUCAAAGAACUUGGUAAAUAUUAACAAAAAAAACUAGGGUUUUUUUAAAAGUCUAAAAAAUAAUUGCUAAAAAAUGAACAAUUUUUUUGGGAAAAAACUCCUCCAGGUGUGUUUUUCGGCAAAAUUUUAGUUUUUUUUUAACGAAAUUUCAAUUUUUACUGAAAUAUCAGCUAUAUCGUCGUAUUUUCCAUUUUUUGGUGGCAAGCUAAUAAAUAAAUGUCAAAAUGAUAAUCUUAUAAAAAAUAUUUCAAAAAGAAAAAAAAAUCAUAUAUUCAACUUGAUUCAUUGUUAGAGUCUUUGUUAUAAAGUCGAUGAUGAUGUAUAUGAUAUAUUUCCUUUAUAUUGAAGUUUAUUAGCAUAUAUACCAUGUCUUAUUUUCCUACUUCGCUUUUAUAAGUACCAUGAAUGUAAAAAAAGUUUCUUUCUUUUCUUUUCUUUUCUUUUUUUCUCUUUUCUUUUCUUCCAAUAAUAAAGAUCAUUUAGAGACAUCCAUGGAAAUUAGAGAAAAGAAAAUAAGAUAAUGAUUUGAAAGAAGGUACAAAAAUAAUUUAUCAGUUUUAAAUAUUUUUAUUUUUAUUUUCUUCUAAUUUUUAUCUUUAUUUUCUUUUAUCUCAUAUAUUUCCUCAAACUUUUUAAAGUCUAAAUCUAAUAGGACGAAUAGUACUAUAUGUACUUGAUAAUCAACUUCAACCAUGAAGUUACAAAAAGGACCCUAUGUUAUAUUUCUAUGUACCAGGCCAUUACCUGCCAACAUGCGAGGCCAGCACGAUAAACUUAAAAAUUGUGGCAAGUCAAGUCAGCCUAUGCAAGCCAAAUAGAUGGCCCGACAUGGCCCAUAAGCCAAUGGCCCAUGGCCCAUGAGUCAAUGACUUUGUUAAAAUUUUUAAUUUAAUUUUCUUAAGUCAUUUGGUCUUAAGUUUUUUUCAAUAUUAAAUAAAAUUUCUUUUUAUUACUCUAAACAUCUCUAAUAAUUAUACUUUUUAUUUUUUAUAUACCUCUAAUAAUUAUAAUUUUUAUUUUUAAUAUUUAUAUUUAUCGAGUUUAUAAUUGUAAAAUUUAUAGAAAUAUUAGUUUUUUAUUUUUAAAAAUAGUACAAAAAUUAUAUUUGAAUUUAUUUAUUUUUUAAUCAAAAUAAAAAUAAAUUUAAAAUAACUCGUAAUAUAAAAGGAAGUGAAGUAUACAAAAAUAAUUCUUUUAUUCAAUAUUUCAACAAAUUACAUUAAAACAAAAAAAUAAGUAGACAGGGUCGACACGAUGGCACAACAGACUAUUUCCUUAGGCUCAGCACAGUCCGCUCCUUUGGGUUGGCACAACCCAGGCCUCUACAGUAAUUGGGUCGUGCUCGCUAGGCCCGGUCUUUUAGUGUGCCAGGCUACAGGCCAAAAUGGCCGGCCAGAUCCAUUGAACACCUCUAUUUCUAAGCCACUAGUUGUGAUAUGAAUAUGUCAAGAUCACCAAGUCUUAUUCAUUGAAUCUUCUAAUAAGGUUCGAAAUAAUAAGGGCCUCUAUCUUGAGGAUUAGAGAAGACCACUCUGAGUGUAAGCUUGAGUAGAAGCUAACAAUUGUUCAAAAUUGUGAAAACUACAACAACCAUGGCCUCAUUAAAUGUUAAAUUAGCCGAUCGAUGUGACCGAUCUUCUAUGGCUAUAACCAAGGAUUAAAAUUUCAACAAUAUUGACAAAAAAAAAAUGGACCGUCAACAUGAUAUAUGGGAGGAAAGGGUAUUUUGAAUAAGAAAACAAAAAAAAAAUAGUAAUUUUAAAAAAUGUUUCUUAAAAUGUGAUAAUUCAAAAAAUAUUUCAAAAUCUAUCAUACUUUAAAGAAAUCUAUAUAUAUAUAUAUAUAUAUAUAUAUAUAUAUGAAAACAAAUUACAAAGUAAAAUACCUACAAAUUCAAUUAAAAGAUAAUCAUAAUAAUCUUCGAAAUCAAACUUUAUAAUAUCUUAAAGAAAAUUUGAUUAUCAAAUGAUCGAUUCUAUAUUAUAAAUACAUUUCCUAAUUCAAUAAAUAGUUUUUAUUUUUAAAAAUAUUACAAAUAAUUAUAUAAAUAUAAAGAAAGAUUAAAAAUAAAUACUACAUAAAAAAUUGUUUUAAAAAUAUUAAAAAAACAAGUUAAAAUUAUUUCAAGUUCCAAAAAGACAUUCAUUCUACGGAAGAUUAAAGAAAAGUUUUCAAAAACUAGUUGUUAGAAUUGAUUUUUAAAACAGUAAUGAAAUAAAUUUGUUAUAUUUUGCUCACCUGCCUCACAUUUCCAGCUUUGCCGCCAAUCUAAGAAAGCUCACUGCCAGAAAUGGUGCCAUCUUCCUUCAGAACCUGGAGUUCCCAUGCACCACUCGUUUGGUCUAUUUCCCCAACCCACCAUGGGAUCUUCAUCUGGCUUUCACCAUGGUUCCGGGUCAGGCCAACCCUUGGAAGCCAUAUAAAAAAUAAAUAGAGAAAAAAAGUACAAAGAAAAAAAUAAAUAAAUUUAAAAUCAAUAUAUUACUUUUUAAAGUUAUUUCAAAUUCAUUAUAUAUACUUAUUUUUAAAAUUUUUAUGUAAAAAUUAAGUAAUUUAAAAAUAUAUAAAUUUUUAAUUAAUUUUAAUUAUAUUUGAUUUAAUUUUAUAAUAGUUUAUAGUGAAACCAAAUACGAGAAUAUUUUUAUAUAUAAGUUUUCUUUUUCUUUCUUUAGAUGUACUUUUUAGAAAAAUUAAAAUAUUAGUAAUUAUAAAUAUAGCGAUACUUCAAUUUUUUGAAUAUAUCGAAAAUAUAUUAAUAAAUAUUUUGAAAAAAAAUAUUGAUAAGUCUAAAAUGGAUCAAAACUUGUGAAAAUGUAAAAAACAAGGUCAUAGAAAUGUAAUUAGAAGUAUAAUAUAUAUUUUAAAUUUUUUUUUUUUAAGAACUUGAUAUAUGUACGAUACAAAAUAAUAUCUAUGUAUUUUAUAAGUGCAUAUUUAUUAUUAAAUUAUAUCAAAUAUUAUUUUACAAUAAUAUUGUGAUAUUUAAUUAUAAUAUGUCUAAUUUUAAAAUAUAUUUAAUAUUAAAAUUAUCAUCCAUUUAAUUCAAUUAUAUUAUAAAAUAAAUGAUGAUAUAUGUAUAAAAAAAUUUAAUUUUUAUAUUUUUUAUAUUUAAUGAAUAUAUAAAUUUAAAAAAAGUUAAGAAAAUUAUUAUCAUAAUUUUUAUAUUUUUAGUGAUCAAUUAAAUUAAAUUUAAAAAUAAAAUAAUUAGAAUUAAUUUAUUUAUUAAAAUAUUUUAUUUUUAUCAUAGUGAUAGUAUAUAUUUAUUCUAGUGCACAUUAUAUAAUAUAAGGCAAGUUAGCCCAAUACCUACAAGUCAAAAUUUAAAUUUUUUUCAUUUGACUGCCAGCCCACCCCGGUGAAAACACCCUUUUCAAUUUUUAUUUUUUUUUCUAGGCAAGAAUUAAUUUUCUAAAUUAAUUUUUUUAAUUAAAUUCUGGUUUGUAAAUUUUAAAUAAUCCUAUUUAAGGAAAAAAAAAAUGUUGCCUGUUACCAUCCCCGUAGUUUAUAAAUUUUUCGGUCAAAGUAAAAACAAAAAAACAAAAAGUAAAAGUCCAAGAAUUGCGCCGGCCAGCCCCAAAAAAUCAGCCAUUUUUCUUCGAAAAAUCGCCUAGCCAAAAUUUUCUUGGUGAAACACACGCCAUUUUUUUUUUGGGAAUUUCACCCCUCCCACAUUUCGCCAUCCGAUUUUGUUUCUACGACCACCGAAAUGUAAUAUUUUAGCAAAAUUUCACCGAAAUUUUUCAAAAUUUUCAUCGUUGCUUUCUAGAACCAAAAGUGAGGAUAUGUGUGGAAAAAAAAAUGAAGAAGUUUUAUUUUAGGGAGAAUUGUAUGUUGAGAUAACUGUCCAAGGUCUUCUUAACUUAUAAUUGAACUUAAAACUUAAUAAUAGAGUAAAAAUUAAGAUAAAUAAUAUUAUAUUUCAAAAAUCUCUAAGAUACCCUUAAUCGUCAAAUAAAAAACUAAUUAGUCACCCUCACCUCUUUCAUUCUCUCUUUUACUCCCUUUCUCUCUCUUUUUUCACCUCACCCUUCUUUCAUCUAUUUAUUAGAAUGAUUUUCCAAUAAUUUUCUCCAAGAAAUUGAAUAUUAUAGAUAAAUAUUUAAAAAUAAUUAUUGUCAAAUCUAUUUUUGAAGUAAAUAUUUUUUAAACAUCUCAUCCAAUAUUUUUUUUUUCAAACUUACAUAAUAUAUAAUAAAUAUAUUUUAAAUACCAGAGAAAAUAUUUUUCAAAUACAUUGGAUACUUAUAUAAUAUAUAAUAAAUAUUAUUCUUUAUUUCAAACUUAUGUUAUUUGUCAUAUAAAUUAAAUAAUUUUUAGAUACCUCAAAAAAUAUUAUUAUUCUUUGUUUGUUUUAACUUACAAAUUAGAUAUUAUAAAAUAUUAUUCUUUUUUUCAAACUUAUAAAUAUAUAAUCAAUAUUUUUUUAAAUACCUUAGAUUUUUUAUUUUUUAUUUUUGUUUCUUACCUACAAAAUAAUAAACAUGUCCUACAUUAUUUCUCAUAUAUAUUAAACAACUUUUAAACACCUCAUAAAAUAUUAUUACUUUUUUUUUUUCUAACUAGCAAAUUAGACACAUUGUAUUUAUUAUUUCUCAUAUUAUUACAAAAAUAAUGUAAACACUCACACUCUUCAAGAUAUUCAAAAUUUGUUCAUUCCGAAAGUACCUAAUUACCCCCCCCCCACUAGUCCUAAAUAUUUUAAAAUAAAGAUUUAAAUAUUUAAAACCAUUAAAAUAAAUAUUUUCCUAUUAAAACAAUUUUUUAAGGGGGUGUUUGGUACGUCGGAAUAGGGAAUGUAAAUAAUAUUUUGUUUUCUUUCCUAUUUCUUAGUGGAAUGGAAUGAAUUUGAUGAUUCCAUUUCUAACAUUUGGAUGAACUUAGGAAUGAAAGAUUGAAAUGAUUAUUUGUUUCCAUUCCAAUGUUUGAUAAUAAUAGGAAUGGAAAUGAAAAAGAAAUAAAUUUACAAUAAUAUCCUUACAUAUAAUUUAAAAUAUUUUUUUAUUUUUACUUUUAUUUUAAAAAAAAAAAAUUUGAGAGGUUUUUUGUUAUUAAAUAAUAAGACUAAAAAAUAUAUAUAUACUCAAUAAAUAAAAAAUUAACCAUAAAAAAUCGUAUAACCCUAAUGCACAAAUAUUCAAUUAUUAUUUUUAUUAAAAAUUUGAAUAAUUUGUCAUGCUUAAGUAGUUAUAAAAUUAUAUUUUUCAAAAAAAAUUAUUUAUUAUAAUAUUUAAAUUCUCAAAGCUAGCAAAUAAGGUAAACCUGAUUGAAGAUGUAGAAGGGAGUUUUCAGAACCUAGUUGCAGCAAACAAUGACGAAUCCUAGAUCCAACAAUCAAAAUGAACAUCCAAAACCCUAUAAAUUAGAAAUUGAUUUUUUUUUUUUAAAUAUCGUGGAAGGUUUAAUUGAUUCAAUUUGGAAGAAUCACUUGUUGUAGAGAAUUGGAUGAUGAGUGGGUCUCUAGCUUUGCAAAGAAGAUAAGAAGUGGAUGAUGAAUGGAUCUCUACCUUUACAAAGAAGAUAAACAUCGGGUUUGAAGAAUAAGAUAAGAGGGUAAAAUAGUAAUUUAGGUUAUUUUAUAUUAUCAAAUAGGUUUAAUGAAUCAAAAUACCACCUACUUUUAAUGAAUGCAAAUCCGACUCAUAAGUUGGAUUUGAUUUCUGCCGGAAUAAUUUUUUAUUUCAUUUCCGCCUUCUUAACAUUUAUCCAAACAUAGGAAUAAGGGAGAAAAUGAAUGAGAUGUCUAUUCCCACUUCCUAUUCCCGUGUACCAAAUACCCCCUUAGUAAUAAGAUAAAAAUCAUGAAAUAUUCAAAACUAGAAUUACAACAAAUUAAAAAAUUUAAUUUUAAAAUUAAUUCAAUAAUUUAAAUUAAUGAUUUUAAAAAAUAGAAAUGUUACAAAAAUAAUUUUUAGUUAUUUUUAAUUCCAUUUAAAUAUGAUUUUUUUAACCUCUAUUGAUAAUGAUGAAAUUAUGUUUAUAAAGGAAAAUUAGUAAAAAUAUAUAUUUCAUUUAGUUUAUUUCAGUUUACUAAUAAACAAUUUAAACAUGAUUAAUUUUAAUUUUAUUUCCUAUGUUAUAAUUUUGGUAGGAAGAUCUUAAUAGCAUAGUUUGGUAAACAAUAUAUAUAUAUAUAUAUUAAUAAUCGUCUUAAUGAUAAGCUUAUGUUGUUUACAAAUCGUACAAAACCUAUUAGAAACCUUUUAUAUCCUUAUACAGUUAUUAUAUUUUAUCUUAUACAGUUAGUGCAACACUCUUAUACAUUGAUGUAAAUUUUAUACACAUGCAUAAAUAAUGUAUUCACAUAGAUGUGUGAACCAUAUUUCCAAUAGUUUGGUUUAGAAAAGACAGGAAGACUUAAAGAACAAGUUUUUCUCCAAACAUCAUUAGUGAGAUAAGUAUUCAAAUUAUCAUGUACGAGUUAAAUAAAGUGUAUAAGAUAGGUAUGUGAUAAACGAAUAUGUAACAUGAGAGUAUAUAGUUCUUGGGUAAUAAGAAAAAUAAAACGAGAGGUUUAUAAUCGAUUAAAAUUCUAUAUAAAGGGUAGUCUUGUACACCACUUGUACACUUAGUAUAUUUCUCUUGUAUAGUUAGUGUAAUACACUUGUACAAUGACACACAUUUCAUAUCACUCCUAAGUUAUGUAUCCGUAUAGGUGUGUAAACCAUGUUUCCAAUUGUUUGGUUGAGAACCAAGAAAGAACAUUACUAAAACUACAAAAAUAAAAUAUGGAGUUACAAAAUAUGGAUGAUGAAAUUUAAAAAUAAGAGAUGAAAUAAUUAUUAUGUGAGAGAAUUUAGGUGGGGAAAUUGUACAAUUUUUGGGUAACAAGAAAAAAGAUGGAGAUUUUUUCAGAAUCAGUUCAAAUCCUUAACAAAUGACAACCUUGUAUACUUAAUAUAUUUUCCUUGUACAGUUAAUGUAAUACCUUUAUAAAGUGAUGCAAAUUUUAUAUCCAUCAUAAGUCAUGUGUCUACAUAGGUGUGUUAACCAUGUUUCCAAUGGUUUAAUUGAGAACCAAGAAAGAACAUUGCUAAACUACAAAAACAAAAUAUAGAUGAUGAAAUUUAAACAUAUGAGUUAAAACAAUUAUUGGGUGCAUGAGAGAAUUUGAGUGGGGAAAUUGUGUAAUCCUUGGGUAACAAGAAAAAAGAGUGAGAGUUUUUCAAAAUCACUUCAAAUCCUUAACAAAUGGCAUUAUUGUACACGCUUAUAUAGUUAGUACAUCCGUCUUAUAUGUAACACCCUUGUAUAGUGGUGCAAAUUUCAUCCAUAUGCAUAAAUUAUGUGUCCACAUAGGAUGAGUAACCAUUUUUUCAAUGAUUUGAUUAAGAAAAUGAUAAAAGACGUAAAAACAAAAAUUUUCGCCACACAUCAUUAGUAAGGUAAAUAUUUGAAUUAUCAUAUGUAAAUUAUAUAAAGUGUACAAAAUGAAUGUGUGAUUGAGGAAUGUAUGGCAUGAGAGUGUGUAAUCUUUAAAUGACAAGGAAAAAAAAAGUUGUCCAAAAUUGAUUGAAAUAUUUCACAAAUGGUAGUCUUGUACACCCCUUAUACAGUUAAUGUAACACCCUUGUAUAAUAAUGCAAAUCUCAUCCACAUGCAUAUUUUAUUUGUUUCUUCAUUUAUAUUGUUUGUAUUUCAUGGAAAACCACUUGAAGUAAAUAUGAUGAAAAUUAAUUUGAUAUGCGUGCAAGCCUAUAAACAAUAUUACAAAUAGUUUAAUAUAUAUAUAUAUAUAUAUAUAUAUAUAUAUAUAUAUAUAUAUAUAUAUAUAUAUAAAAUAAUAAAUAAUAAAUAAAUAACAAGAAAAAUGAAGAUGAAAUUAGAUAAUGUAUUAUUUAUAAUUUUUUAUUCAAUUUUAAACUUUUUUAGAAAACAAAUAUUUUUAUUAUUGAAUGAGUUUUAUAAUAAAAUUUUAUUUUAUUUUUAAAACACUUCUUUUGAAUUAAAUCCUUUUAUUAUUAAAUCCUUGAUACAAUAAAAUUAAAAUUAUAAAAUAUCUAUUUUAAUUUAUUUAUAAAAUUCACAUUUAAUAAAUUUAUUUUAAUAAUUUUAUAACUUUAUUAUUUCAUAUUUAUCCAUUUUAUAAAAUAAAUAUUUUUGUUAUUAAAUAAUUUUAUUAUGAAAUUUAUCUUUUUAAAAUUAAAUUUUUUAUCCUUAGUUCUUUCAUGUAAUAAAUAAAUAUUUUAAAUAAAAAAAAUCUAUUUUAAUUUAUUUAUGAGAAUUACACUGAAUCAAAAUGCAUUUUUAAUUUAUUUAUUUUGAAAUUAAUUAUUUUAUUUUUAUAUCUAAUAUAAUUAAAUUAGAAUUCAAAAUAAACUCAACUUCCUUAGUUCAAAAGAAUUAACUUUUUAUUAAAUGAUUGAUGAAAAAACUAAAAAUUAUUACUUUAUAUUUUUAAAUAAUAUUGAUAUAAAAUAAAAAUGAAGAUGAAAUUAAAGGAUACAUUAUUUUAAUUUAUUAUAAAUUAUAUAUUAUAAUAGUAUAAAAUAUCAUUACAUAAUAUCCCACUACUAAAUUGUUAUCUUCCAAAAUUCAAUAUAAAUACAAUUUUAUUUAGUUGUUGAUAAAAUAAAAUAAAAUAAAAUAAGCCUCAAACAAGAAAGUAACAGCAAGUUCUUUUUUUUGUACACUCAACAUUAAAGGUCACAAUUAAAUAUAUAAAUUUAAGGGUCAAAAAUCUAUGUUUGAUACACCACGUGGGACCAUAAAAUUCUCCUCAUGACAACUCUCCACUUUAUGUGUGAAGUGACCAAACAACUCUAAAGGGUAUUUUGGCCUCUUUAUAGUUUAUAUCCUUCCUAUGAGUUAUACGACUUAGAAGGACGAUCAGCCCAUUAUCACUAAGUCAACUGCCAUUGUUUCUUCAUCAACUUGCCGACCUCUCAAACUUGAGAUUGAAAAAUCAGCUCACAGAUUAGCAAGAUUUCUUAAGAGGACAAAGAAAACCUAUUCAAACCAUAAGCUUGAGUGAGCCACACGGCUUUGGAGUUGAGAAAAAUGAUCAAAAUUUUGAAAAUUACACCAAGCCUGGACCUAGCCUAAAAAUAUGUCCCAUCAUCUACAAUUGUAGUAUAGAUUAGAAAGAAAUGAUGGCAAGAGGUUUGAUGGUAGAAGGUGGUGGAAGGUGGUGGAAGGGAAGUGGCAUGGUGGGUUCAAACUCUGGGGCUCUCUUUUUGCUUUGCAUGGUCGUUAUGCCCCUCUCAAUUCUAUCCAUGGUCAUAUUUGCCUGCGGUCUUCGUGGAGGAGGUGGAGGAAGCGGGCAUGGCCGUGGUCAUAGAGAUGACGGUGUUGAUUUUCGAGGUGGAGGCGUUGGAGGUGAAGGUGUGAUUGUGGAGGUGGAGAUAGGGAUGGCAACGGGGCGGGUUUUUUCGGGUAUCUGCCCCGCCCCGUCCCUAAUGGGACGGGGUUUAAAUUUAAUAAACGGGUUUGGGACGGAUAUGAGAUUUUUUUUUUAACCCGGGGCAGGCUCGGGUAUUGCCUUAUCCCGUCCCGCCCCGUUUACAUAUAAAAUUAAUUUUAAAAUUAAAUUUAAUUUUAAAUUUAAAAUUAAUUUAAUUUUAAAUUUAAAAUUAAUUUAAUUUUAAAUUUUAUUUUAUUAUUUUUAAUAUAUAGAUGAUAAUAAAAAAUUUAAUAAAAUAAGUUAUAAAAAAUAUAAUAAUUUUAUUAUUUAUAAAAUAUAUUUAUUUUAAUGUAAUUAAAAAAUUUUAAAGUAAUUUUUUAAAAAAAUUAAAAAAAAAAAAAAACUAAACGGGGCGGGUAUGGAAAAUUCUCAUACCCGCCCUGCCCCGUUUAAUUUUUUAAACGGGACAGGGAUGAGAAUUGUUUUUAAUAAACGGGGUAGGGUUGGGAUGGAGGUGACCCGUCCCAAACCCGCCCCGUUGCCAUUCUUAGGUGGAGAUUUGGGAGGUCAAGGCAUUGAUGUUGGAGGUGAAGGCGGUGGUCAUGGAGAGGGAGGUUUUGGAGGUGGUGGCGGUGGUUGUGGAGGGGGAGGUGGUGGUGGUGGCAAUGGUGGAGGUGGGGUUUUCUAAAGAAAAAGGAAAAUAGUUUUUACUCGUACCAUCCUAUAAAUAUGAAUGACCUUUUCUAUAAAAUAAACCUUGAAAUUCUUUUGUCAUAGAGCUGAUAAUCUUGUCGAAAAUAUAUGUAAAAGAAAAGAAAGUUCCCAUAUUCAACUUGAUUCAUUGUUAAUGGUCGCCCGAUUGAGGUUGAUGAAUUUGUCAAUAUUUUCUUUGUAUUGAAACUUAUAAAUAGUAUAUAUGAUCUUCAAUUUUAUCCUUUUUUUCCCUAAGUUAAAUGUUUUAUGAUCCAAAUUGGAGAUGUGAUCAUGAAUUGGUUAUAUACUUAUAUAUAUCAUAUUACUUAUAAGAUAAGACUAUAUUAUUAUGUACUCAUAAAAAUCAUAAGCUUCGUUAUUUGAAAGAAAGGUCGAACCAUUCAUAAUAGGUUCAAAGGAAAUGAAGCUCAAUAUCGAGACAACUCUUCCACAUAUUCAUUUUCAGUCUCAUUAUAAAAUUACUUGUAAAAAAAUUUAAAUUUCAAAACAGAAUUUGGAAAAAAAAAGGUCAAUCAUAAGGACAACUAUAACAUAGGCAACCGUUAGCACCAAACUUUCAUAACUAGCCAUUUAUUAUACUUUUGGAUGAUUAGACCAUUUAUGAUCAGUUAGGAUCAAGGAUGAAAAUAUCGGUAAUCACGGAUAUAUCGGUAUUUCGAUUUUACGGAUAUAUCGGAUAUAUCGGAGAUAUAUUGGAUAUAUCGGAGAUAUAUCGGUGGACAUUCUGGAAAAAAAAAAUCGGUAAGCUUAAAAUUGUUAAAAACUCAUGGAAAUGUAAGGAAAAUCUCAUAAUAAUAUAAUUAGAAGUAUAAUGGACAUUUUAAAGUUGUUUUAUUGAAAAUUUUGAUAUAUAUAUGAUAUAAUUUGCAAUAUUAGAUGUAAUUAUAUCAUGUCAAUUUAUAAGAAAUGUUAAUUUUGUAAUUGUUCUCAUUAUAAAGUCACAUAAAAUAUUUCAUUUCAUUAAAUAUCAAUAAUUUGUACACAUUAAAUUCAUUAAAUAAACAUAUUUCAUAUUCAAAAUAUACUAGUUCAUGUUAAUUAAAUUAAUUAAAUAAUUUAGCAUGUUAAUUAAAUUAAUUAAAUAAUUUAACUAAGUUAACUAGUUUAAUUUAAUUCUAAAUGUGAAAAUAAAUCACAAAUAAUCAUUUAAAAUAAACAUAUCAAUUUAUAAUUAAAUAAUCAAAUUAACCUAAGUUAAUUCAAUAAAAAUAUAAAAAUUAAUUACAAUUGAAUGUAAAAAUAGCAUUAAAUAAUCCAUAUUGCAAACAUACUAAUUAAUUGAAAAUACAUGAAUUAAUUACAAUUGCAAACAAAAUUAAUUACAAUUUAAAACAAAUAUACCUUAAAAUGAUUAAAUAAUUGAGCAACCUUAAUAAAAAUUGGAGUAAUGAGAGAGCAAAUAAAGAAUGAAAGCAAAAAUAGAUGAAAUUUGGGUUAUUUAUAAAAUAAAUUUGGGCCAAAAUAGCCGUUGGAACAUUAAUUUACCGUUGAAAAUCAAUUUUGGCCGUUGGAUAAAAAAUUGGGAGCAAUCGGGCCGUUGGAUCGCCAUAUUACCAUUGGAAUCACAUCUAGGCCGUCGAAUCAACACGGGUGUGAUAUGGGCCGUCAGAUCACGUUGCAUGAAGAAGGGGAAAUAUCACCAAAAAAUCAGCGAUAUAUCUCUGAUAUAUCACCGAUAUAUCGCCGAUAUAUCACCGAUAUUUUGCCACCAGAGGCGAUUUUUUCAAAAUAUCUUCGAUAUAUCUCUCCGAACCGAUAUAUCGCCGAUAUUUUGGCUAUAUUUACGAAAAUAUCUCCCCUCCGAUUUUUCUUCACGAAAUAUCGUGUCGACCCCUUCCGAUACACGAUAUAUCGGCGAUAUAUCGCCGAUAUAUCCCAAAAUUUUCCUCCUUGGUUAGGAUCAUAGAAAAUAUCAAAGAAUGGAAACGAAAAUAAAAAAAAUCAAAUUCACUUAUUUAGUUUAUCCGAAAAUAGAGAAAGACUUAAAUAGAAUAAACAAUUGUUUUAAAAUGUAUAUAUCUUAUUUUACUUUGCCUUUUUUUUUUAUUAUUAUUUUCUUUUUAUUUAUCAUACAUUUAAUCAAGUUCUUCAAGACAAAAAUGGAGUCCUAACAUUUCACAAACCAUUGCUUUGAGUGUAUUAAUAAGAAGGUUUUGUUGAAGUAUAUAAAUUCAUUUUUGGCUCCAUUAAUCCUUAAUCAGUCAAGAGCAUUCAAAAUGUUGAAUGAACACUCCCGAGUAUGUAUGCUAGAGACCAAGUAUAACAAGUUGAUUGUAAUUUUAAAAUCCUAGCAAAUUGGGUGUCAAACCAUUGGAAGGUGAUUUUAAAUGUAUAGGGAAAAUUGGAUAGAUUGGAAGAUAAUUAUAAUGUUUAGUCUGACGCUUUCUCCCAAUUGGGUACUCCCAUGUUGGCUUAAGUGGUGUACCAUGUGAAUGCAUUACAAACAAGAUAGGAGAUCCAAUGGUGGCUUGGAAAAAGUCCAAAAAUAUGGGUUCCACACAAUUAAUGAUUGUGCUAGAGCAAAUGGCACCAAUUUAUAAAGUAUUUCUUGAUGCCAACAAACCCUAAUAUCUAUUUUUAUCCUUAAUUUUUUAUACCAAAAAAUGAGGGUUUUUUCUUAUCUUUAAUUUUAUUGUUUACAAAGGUUUUAAGUCAUUUCACAAUAAGACAAGCCUGAAAUACACCCAAAAGCAAAUUAAUUUUCAUUAAAAUUUCUCUUACCUAUGUAAAGAAAAACCUUAUCAUAUAAAUAUUAUAAAAUAAUCUUUUAAAUAAAAUUUUGAAAUCUUAUGUUAGGGAGAUAAUCACAUAAAACACAUAAGUUCAAAAGGAACAAAUUACAUUCAAUUCUUUUGCUACUAGUUAGAAUCCAUGUGACCAAGCUUAGUAUGGAAGUUUAUAAUAGCAUUUGUUAAUGCCUUUCUUACAUUCUUUCAGGCUCUGUUUUUUCUGUUGGGAUUAAGCCUUAUGGGUCCACCAUUGUCGGCGCUUAGCACUUUCGAAGGGAAGGCUAGUAGCUCAGAUGGUACCAGGAUUGACAUUUAAGUGGACCUUAAGGUUUGGUCCUAAGUUCAAUUCUUGGGGAUGUCUCCUUUAUUGGAACAAAUAAACAAUUGGUGUGAUUGAGGGGCCACGGUCCUGGGCCUCUGGCCUUCCCUUCGGAAGUGUUAAGCGCCAACAUGACUAUUUUUUUUAUAUUUGAUGUCAGGGAAAAAAGUAAUGAAAUAAAUAACAAGGAAAAUAGUGAAUAAAAUGUUAUAAAAAGAAAAAGAAAAAUCCUCUCCAUUUUUCUUAGAUUAAAAAAGUGUAUUUUUUAACAAUUUAAUUUUUUUCCUUUCACUUUUUCAUAGACAAUCAAACACAAGAAAGGCCAACAAAAUUUCAAUGUAAACCAAUUAAUUUAAGAAUUCUAUGAUUUUAACAUAUAAGGUAAUCGAAAUUUUAAUAUGGUUGGAUCAACUAUACCACAAAGAGUAUUAUGAAGGGGCUAAAGUCAUAAACAACUAUUGGGUCCCAAAACUUCUCAUGUUUAUCUUCUCUUUACAUCAAUACCAUAAACUUUGUCACAUCUCGAUCCAUCAUAUACAAUCUUUCAAGCUUAUCUUUUAUCUCAUUCUCAUAAAUUUUUUCCCUCAUGACCAAAAUUAAUAUUUAUAAAAAUAUAUCUAUUAACUUUUCUUAUUUCAUAAAGAAACUUAAUACUACAAUAACAUAUGAAUAUAGAAAAUAUUCUAUAUGAUGUUCUUCACAAAAAAAGGAAUUUACAUUAAUUAAGAGUAUGAGAUACUUUCCUACUUUUUUUUUCUCUCAAAAUUUGCAUAACCAAAUAUAUCCUUAAUAAAUAACAUGCAUUUACCAUUUUAAGAAGUUUCCUUUGUUUUUAGUAAAUUAUACUUCAAAAAAAAAAAUAGGCUUAUAAAGGCUCAAUCCAAGCAAAUAAGAGUCUGUAGACCCCCAUUUGGGGCUUGUUCUCAUUUUAUAUACAAUAUAUAUUUCUUUGCCGCUCUCUUGGAGCCAUGUGGCGAGUCACGGUUGAGGAAGCCAGCUGCAUGGGGGGGGGGGGGGGGGGGGGGGGGGGGGGGGCCCCCCCCUUGGGCCCCCCCGGAGGGGGGGGGGGGCGCCCCCCCCCCCCCCCCCCUGAAUGGGGGUGGGGGGAGAAAUUUUUUGGGGGGGGCACUAAAAAAACUUUUUUUUUUUUGGGAAAAAAAAAAAAAAAGGUUUUUUGGGAAAUUUUCAAAAAAAAAAAAAUUUCUCGGCGUCCCCACCCGACACAAAUGGGAAACUUUUUUUUUUUGGGGUUUUUUUCUUUGGGGAGAGCCCCCCCCUGGGGGGAAGAGAUUUUUUNNNNNNNNNNNNNNNNNNNNNNNNNNNNNNNNNNNNNNNNNNNNNNNNNNNNNNNNNNNNNNNNNNNNNNNNNNNNNNNNNNNNNNNNNNNNNNNNNNNNAAGAGCAAGAAAGGGAUCGCUCAGGUUUGAUCAUCUCGCAGCAUAAGUUCUCAUGUUGUCUUGUUUUACUUCAUUUUUUAGUCAUACCAUGCUUCUUUCUGACAUUUGGGAUGUUUGUUUCAGUUAUCUAACAUGUUAAACCUGUUUUUUUUCAUUUUUUUUGCUUGCCCAAUCUCUGUUUCUUCCCGUAUGAGUUAUAUGAUAAUCGUGCUACCUGUUUGUAUGUUGAGAUCAUUCGAGCUUCCCCACCAGUUUUCUUAAAAACUCCUUGAUUUCCAUAAAAAUGGAGUUGGGCAUACUGGUAUUCUCUUCUCUUACACUCACCAUGUUUUUCUUCUAUUUUUUUUCUUGUUUCUGGCUCGCAAUGGGAGAUGUAUAUUUUUCUUUAUGGAGAGGAUUAUGUAAUAUUUUGAGGUGUUGUUGAGUUUGGCACCGGAUGGCUUGGUUUAUUCCCACUUAGAUCACUUUCUAGGUUCUUCGAGAUAUGGAUAUUGUUGACAGAAAAUUUCGGCUCCUAGGUAUUUGAAGUUGAGUGAAGUUCUCUCGGUUGAUGAAGGGCAUUUUGAUGCUUAAAAAUGGGUUUCUCUUCAUUGGGUUAUGUUCACUAAACCGAGGAAGGUUGAUGAGAUGUUUCCAGAUGGCGCUCCACUAUUACCCUUUGGCCAUCAGAUCAUCCUACCGAAUUCGAAAUCAGAGGGAAUACAUGGUGCAUUGAUUGCUCAUUGGGUUUUGGGUGUGAUAUUCAGUUUCUAUGUAGACCCAUCCACAAAUCAAGCUGUAAGGGAUCAUCAUGCUAUAAUACACUAUCAGUCUCCACCAUUGCCUUCCAGUUUCCACUUGAGAAUUAUUUACAGGAUUAUAUGGCAGCAAUGGCUCAGUGCAGAGGUCCACCAUGCCUUCAUCUCUACUGUCAAACCCAUUCCAUCUCACCACCACCUUUCAGCCCUCACCAAUCCAUUUUUCUCCAUCAUCUAUUUCAUUUGUGAUACCUUCAUCUUUCAUACUCCAUCACUCAUUCCGCCCAUUUCUCACCCUGCACCAUGCGUGCCUUCACUUUUCACUACCCACCUAACUCACCCAUAUUCUCAUCUUUCCAAACUUUCUACAUCCAGCACCACUCGCAUCUUUCAUCCUUCAUUCUCGUCCAUGCAAAACCCAUUCUCAUCCAUGAAAACCCAUUUCAAUUCCCAUGCAAACUCAUUUCUCUCUCUAAACUCUCAUCCAUGCAAAUCCAUUCUCGUUCAUGAAAGCCCAUUCCCAUUCCCAUGCACAUACCCCUCACACCCACCGAACCACAUAUACCCACUUCUCUCUCUAACCCUCCACCCUUCAUACCCGUUUUCACACCACCCUUUCUAGUCCGAUCCCAUGUCCAUGGACACUUCCAACUCAUUCCCUUCACCUUGGCAUGGCCAUGCAUGGCCAUGUUAACCUCCAUACCCGCUCCCUACCCAUGCAUAUUUUCCAUACCCAUAAGGCCCGUUUUGCUUCAUCACUCGUUCUAUUAAUCCCAUGCCCAUAUCUUCAUACAUUAUCUAUACCCACCUAUCAUCCUCAUCAUGCAAAUACCCAAGCUCACCACCCCACCCAUCCUAACCAUCCAUGCAUAUCGUUUCUUUAAAUAUCCACAUACCCAUCACCACCAUUUCUCUCUCUAAACCUUCACAUACCCAUUACCACAUUUUCUCUCUCUACACCACACCAUGCAUCCAUUCCACUCUCCAUGCUCCCUCAUGCAUGCCCAUUACUCACAUACCCGCAAAACCUGUGUUUCUCCCACCUUUGCAUGGCCAUGCAUGGCCACCUUAUGCCCAUUCCGUGAUCGUACCUGUUUCAUGCCCACAUCAUCUCACUACCUUCCCAUACGUAAAUCUCAUGCUCCCCCAUGCAUAUCAUUUUUUUUCCUUUUAACACCCCAUGCCCUUCAUGUUUAUCUAUCCUACCCGACAUGAAUAGCCAUUCCUUCAUAAUACCCAUCUAAAUACUCACUCUCCAUACUCCUCACACAUAUCACCACCCUCCAAUACCCAACUCACUCAUUUUUUUCACCACAUUUUCUCUCUCUACACCACAAAUUCAUUUUUUUUAACAUCCGUGAGACCCAUUUCUCCCAUCUCCCUUUUCCAUUUCAUCACUGCCAUCAUCAAUGUGUAGUCUUUGCUCCUCAUCGUCAGCUUGCCACUCCAGGACCUUCAACUUUAAAAUUUUUAAAAAUUGGGUAAAACCUUUCUUUGAUCUUCAAGGUGGAUAUUUUGAGUAAUGGGUUUUGUUGGUGGGCUCCCAAGGCAUUGAGUUGUGGGCCUAAGUUGGUUUAUGUGGGCCUUAAGCCCCAUUCUUUGAGCUUAGGCCUGAUUAGUUUAUAUUGGGCUUUCUAUGAUUGGACUUCACUACAGGCUACUUGGCAUGAUUUUUUUUUUUUUUAUUAAAUUGCUUUAAGCCUUUGUCUGUUUGGUGUAAGCCCUAAUGGGCCCAGCAUUUGGCCCUCUCAAGUCUUCAUUUUUUUUUAAUGAUACAAAUGUAAUUUUUUUUAAAAAAUUCCAUCCUCAAGUAACCUUUCAAAAUUCACUUUCUAUUCAUAUAUUUCAAAUUUCAAAUCCUUUUCCGAAAUUCCAAUUUUCAAAGUUUAGUUUACAAAACUUUAAUUCUCGAAAUUCAAUUUUCCAAAACUCCAUUUUUAAAUUUAAUUAUACAAAAUACCAUUUUCAAAAUAAUUUCCUAAAAUUUGAUUUUAAAUUUAGUUUAUAAAACUUUGAUUCCCAAAAAUUCUAUUUACUUAAACUUCGUUUUUUUUAUAAAAAAAAAAAAUCAAUUUUCCAAGUUUCCAUUCUCGAAAUAAUUUUCUAAGGUUCUAAUUUUAGGUCUAAUUCUCCAAGAUUCAAAUUUUUAAAUUUAAUUCUCCAACAAAUUUCCACAAUUCCGAAUUUAAUCUUUUUUUAAAAUGUCACUUUCAAAUAAAUUUUCGCAACUCCAUUUCUUUUCAAAUCAAAUCUUCAAAAAUUUCAUUCUCAAAUAAAUCUUCAAGAUGCCAUUUUCUUAGACUUAAUCCUCAAAUUUUCACUUUCAAAUAAUUUUUCAAAUUUCUGAUUUCCGAAUUUAAUUUCCAAUUCCCACAAUUCCAAUUUUUCACACUUAUUUAUUUAAUUAUUAUCAUUUUCGUUAUUAUUAUCAUUAUUCCAUUUAUUUAUUUAUUUAUUUCCUUUAAAAAUUUCAAUCAUUAAAGUUCAAUUUUUUAAAAUUCCGUUUUCCAAUUUUAAUUUUCAAUCUAAAAAAUUUCACUAUUCACGUUCAUUCGUUUAAGUAUUUUUUUGUUAUUAUUAUUAUUUUUCCAUUUAUUUAUUUAUUUUAAAAUUUCCAAUCUUUAAACAAUUUAAAAAAAAAAAUUCGUCUUUCAAAUUUAAUUUUCAAUCUCAAAAAUUCCACUAUUCACGUUCAUUCAUUUAAAUAUUACUUUCGUUAUUAUUAUUAUUAUUAUUAUUAUUAUUAUUAUUAUUAUUAUUAUUAUUAUUAUUAUUAUUAUUAUUCCAUUUAUUUAUUUAUUUAUUUCUUUUAAAAAUUUCAAUCAUUAAAGUUCAAUUUUUCAAAAAUUUAAUUCCCAAUCUCAAAAAUUUCACUAUUCACAUUUAGUUGUUUAAUGAUUAUUUUCGUUAUUAUUAUUAUCUCAUUCAUUUAUUUAUUCACUUAUUCAUAUAUUAAAAAUCUCAACUCUAAAUAAUUUCUCAAAUUUUCAUUAUCUAAAUUCAAUCUUCAAUCUCUAAAAUUCUAUUUUUCGCAAUUAUUUAUCCAAUCAUUAUUAUUUUCGUUAUUCUAUUCAUUUAUUUAUUCACUUGUUCAUUUAUUUAAAAUUUCAUCCCUAAAUAAUUAUUUAAAUUUCCAAUCCCUAAGUUCAAUUUCCAAUUUCUAAAAUCCUCUCCAAUCAUUACUAUUUCGUCAUUAUUAUUAUUCCAUUCAUUUAUUUAUUCACUUAUUCAUUUAUUUAAAAUUUCGUCUUUAAAUAAUUCUUUAAAAUUCCGAUUUCCAAAUUUAAUUCUCUGAAAUUCCAAUUUUCCAAUUUCCGAACUUAAUUUUUAGUUUCCAAUAUUUCAAUUCUCGCAUUUAUUCCGUUACUUAUUUAUUAUUAUCAUUAUUAUUAUCAUUUUAUUCAUUUAUUUCUUAAAAUUUUGUCUUCGAAUGAUUUUCAAGAUUUCCAAUUUUUAUAACUCAAUUUCAUAGUUUCUACUUCUCAAAUAAUUUUCAAUUUUGAUUUUUUUCAAAAUUUAAUUUCCAAAGUCCCAAUUUUCGUAAUUUAAUUUUUUAAAAUCCCAAACUCUCAAAUAAUUUUCAAAAUUCCAAUUUCUUUCAAUUUAAUUUCUAAAAUUCUCAUUCUUACAUUUAAUUUCUAAAAAUCCAAUUUUCAAAUAAUCUCUAAAACUCCAAUUUUCAAAUAAUCUCUAAGACUCCAAUUUUUAAAAAAAUUUUAAAACUCCAGUUUUCCCUCGAACAGUUUUAAUUUUUGUUUGGUGAUGCAUGUGAUAUGUUUCAUGCUCUUUAUUGUACACUGACCCCAUUUUUAUGAUAGUGCAUUGCUCAUUCGUGGCCCAGGUGUGCAUCCACUCCCAUUCUGGUCAUUCUCAAUACAUGUUUUGAUUCCCAUAUGUGCAUGAUCGAUUUGAGUAUCUAUUGAUUUUGUUAUUGAUUGUCAUGUCAGCUUUAUUUUAUUAAUAAAGACCCGACUUUAGGGACUUAGAGGGGUGUUAUAGUCUUUACCGUACCUUCCCGAUAAAUAACAUGACCCCCAAACCCGAUCCUGUUUUUCACAGACCACCUUUUCCAAAAUAGAGAGUCACACUUAAGGUUUUUUUUCUUAUUUUGUUUACCCUUUUAAAAAUAAAACAAAAAUAAGUGGCGACUCCAAGUCAUUUUUUUAAUAAAUAAAAUCAUUUUCAAAUAAAAAUCGAGCUCACCAUUAAGUGGAAAACGCAUGAGCCAAAAUGCGGGGUCCAUAGAGUCAUAGAAGCAUAAUUUUGAGCUUUCCUAACAAUUCUCAUGGAUGUAUUAAGGUUGCUUGACUUUGAAAUCUCAGUUGCAUUUUUAAACAAUUCUUCAAAGUUCCGAUUUUCAAAUUUAAUUUCCAAUUUCCGAAAUUCCAAUUUUCUCAUUUAUUCGUUUAAUCAUUAUUAUUUUCGUUAUUAUUUAUUUAUUUAUUUUUAAAAUUCCAUCUUCAAAUAAUUCUUCAGAGUUCUGAAUUACAAAUUUAAUUUCCAAUUUCCAAAAUUCCAAUUUUUGCAUUUAUUCGUUUAAUCAUUAUUAUUUUCGUUGUUAUUAUUAUUAUUAUUAUUAUUAUUAUUAUUAUUAUUUAUUUUUAAAAUUCAAUCUUUAAAUAAUUCUUCGAAAUUCUGAUUUCCAAAUUUAAUUUCCAAUUUUUGUAUUUAUUCGUUUAAUCAUUAUUACUUUCAUUAUUAUUAUUAUUAUUUUUAUUUAAUUUUUUUUAAAUUCCGUUUUUAAAUAAUUCUUCAAAUUUCUGAUUUCCAAAAUUCCAAUUUUCACAUUUAUUCGUUUAAUCAUUAUUAUUUUCAUUAUUAUUAUUAUUUUAUUUAUUUAUUUAUUUUUAAAAUUCCAUCUUUAAAUAAUUCUUCAAAAUUCCGAUUUCUAAAUUUAAUUUUCAAAAUUCCAAUUUUCGCAUUUAUUCGUUUAAUCAUUAUUAUUUUUGUUAUUAUUUUAUUUAUUUAUUUAUUUAUUUAUUUUUAAAAUUUCAUCUUUAAAUAAUUCUUCAAAGUUCCAAUUUCCAAAUUUAAUUUCCAAUUUCCGAAAUUCCAAUUUUCGCAUUUAUUCGUUUAAUCAUUAUUAUUUUCAUUAUUAUUAUUAUUUUAUUUAUUUAUUUAUUUAUUUUUAAAAUUUCAUCUUUAAAUAAUUCUUCAAAAUUCUGAUUUCCAAAUUUAAUUUCCAAUUUCCGAAAUUCCAAUUUUCGCAUUUAUUCGUUUAAUCAUUAUUAUUUUCAUUAUUAUUAUUAUUAUUUUAUUUAUUUAUUUAUUUAUUUUUAAAAUUUCAUCUUUAAAUAAUUCUUCAAAAUUCUGUUUUCCAAAUUUAAUUUCCAAUUUCCAAAAUUCCAAUUUUCACAUUUAUUCGUUUAAUCAUUAUUAUUUUUGUUAUUAUUAUUAUUUUAUUUAUUUUAAAAUUUCAUCUUUAAAUAAUUCUUCAAAAUUCCAAUUUCCAAAUUUAAUUUCCAAUUUCCAAAAUUCCAAAUUUCACAUAUAUUUAUUUAAUCACUUUCAUCUUCAAAUAAUUCUUGGAAAUUCCAAUUCAUAAAUUUAAUUUUCAAAACUCUAAUUUUCAAAUAAUUUUCAAGACUUCAAUUUUCAAAUAAACUUUCAACUCUAUGUUUUCUUUCAAAUAAUUUUUAAUUUCACUCCAGUUCUCAAAUAUUUUUAAUUCUACCAUUUUUCAUCAUUCAUUAGGGUUCUAAGUUACUAGGAAUCCUGUUUUUAAAUAAACAUGGUACCUUUCCCUUCAAGUAAGCACUUUCAUAAUUUUUUUUUAAUUUUCAAAUAUUUAUUUUGUGUCUCUUGAUUUUAGAUAAAUAUAAAUGCAACUUUCAUAAUUCUAGAAUAAUGGAAUUUGUGAGACUAAUUCAUGCAAGAUAAAUUGGUUUUUGGUGGGACCCAACAUAUGUGAUUUUCUCAUUGAUUGAUUGAUUGAUUUCUAUGCUUGAUUGGUUUGCCUCACUCUAUGACAUGCAUGCGAUUAUUCUGUAUUUGUGUACUAACCUUGUCUCUUAUGAUAACACUCGGCUUGUGACUAAGGUACGCCUCGUACCCAAUUGUGUUUAUUGAUUUAUUUAUAAUCAUGCAUGUCUUGCUUUCACACAUUUGAUCACUGUUCGGUAUUCAUGCUUAAUCAAUCAAUUGUCAUACUUGCUUCAUCUUAUUAGUAGAGACCCAUUUCUAGGGAUUUAGAGGGGUGCUACGGUCUUUACCAUACCUUCCCGAUAAGUAACCUGACCCCCGAGCCCGGAUUUGGUUUUUUGUAGACCACUUUUUCUAAAUAAAGAGUCACACUUAUGAUUUUUCUUUCUUAUUUUGUUUACCCUUUAAAAAUAAAACAAAAAUAAGUGACGACUCCAAGUCUUUUUCUAACAAUCAAUUUUUCAUCAAAUAAACAAUAAACGGUCAUCGAGUGGGAACGUAUCGUGCAAAAUAUGGGGUCCACAAAAUGACAACUCCGCUAAGGAAUCUCAACAAAGGGUCAAGCUUGAACUUAAGAUGAAGCUUAUAAAUGAAAGUAAUAGAGAUUUCAUAUUCAUAUAUUUUUUAUUUUAUUAGAAAAAAAUCAAAUAUUACUAAAUACACUUUUUAAAUAUUUAAUUCUUAUAUAGUAAAACUCAAAUAUAUAAAAUAAAUUUAAAAUAAUAUAUAAAAAUAAUUUAUUGAUUUUAAAUUCUUAUUUUAUUUUUUAUCACAAUUUUUUUUUUAAUUUCUCUUUUAUCUUUUCCUUUAAAUUCUUAGGAAUCCAACUAUGUAAAUAUAUAUAUAUAUAUAUAUUAAGAAACUUGAUUUUAAAAUGUUUAAUAGAUCACGUGUCAUUCCAUGUUAUUUUCAAUUUUUUUCUUUAAUAUAAAAUCUUCACAAAUAUUUUUGACAGCCACAUGGUCCAAUACCAUUAACAAAUCUUCAUCCCAAAUUAGUUCUUACGUUCAGAAAGUAUAUAAACAAGAAGAUCAAGACCUGAGAUUUUUUGUUCCUUAUCAUGAAAAAGUCUAUAUAUAUAUAUAUAUAAUCAUGAAAAGUCUGCAUCAAUCGCCAUUGUUUCUACAUCAACUUGCCAACCUCUCAACUUGAGCUUGAAAAAUAAGCUCACGCAGGGCUUUGAAAAUUUCUUUGAAGCUUCGUAUUAGCAAGAUUUCUUAAGAGAACCAAGAAAACCUAUUCAAAUAUUUAAUUUUAUAAUAUUUUAUAGCAAAACCAAAUAUAAGAAUUUUUUUUACAUAUAAUUUUACUUUUUCUUUUACUUUCUAGAAUCAGAAAUAACGAUACGUGUGGAAAAAAAAUGAAGAAUUUUGAUUAAAAUUUUUCUUUAAUAUAAGAUUAUGUUUAGUCAUGUGAUUUAAAAAUGUAUUUUUAAAAAAAAUUAUUUUUAAAAAAAUUUAAUACCAUUUUACCAUUCUUCUUUAGAAAUAAUGUUUAAAAACAAAAUAAAAUAGAAAAUAAUUUUUAAAGAAUAAUGAGGAAUUGUUUUUAUCCGUUUUUUAAAAUAAAAGAAAAAUACGGAUCCAUUUAAUUAUGUUUUUCUAAACUUGUUUUUAAAAAUUAUUUUUAAGUUAAAAGAAUAAAAAAUAAUCUUUAAAAGAGAAAACAUUGACAAACCAACAGUAAAAUUUUCACAAGUACGCUUGACAACCACAUGGUCCAAUUCCAUUAAAAAUUGUAGCGGCUUGGUAAGAUGGAUGGACUUCCUAGUUUUGAAAACUAAUCAAUGUAACAAACCUUCAUCCCAAGUAUAUAGACAAGAAGAUCAAAACCUGAGAUUUUUUGUUCCUUAUCCCUGGUCCCUUUAUGAAAAUAUCAUGAGAGAAGUCAGCAUCAAUCGCCAAUAUUGUUUCUUCAUCAACUUGCUAACCUCUUAAACCUGAGAUAGAAAAAUCAGCCCACGCAGGGGCAUUGAAAUUUUCUUUGAAGCUUAAGAUUAACAAGAUUUUUUAGGACAAAGAAAAAAUAUUCAAACGAUAAGGUUGAGUGAGCCACACGACUUGGGGUUGUGAGAAAACUCAUCAAAAUUUUGAAAAUUACACCUAGCCUGACCUUAGCCUAUAAAUAUGUCCAAUCUUCUACAACUAUAGCAUAGAUUAGAAAGAAACGAUGGCAACAGUUUUGAUGGCAGUAGGUGGUGGAGGGGAAGUGGGCAUGAUGGCUUCGAGCUCUGGGGCUCUCUUUUUGCUUUGCAUGGUCGUUAUGUCCCUCUCAAUUCUUUCCAUGGUCAUAUUUGCUUGCGGUGAAUCUUCUAGUACUCCACAUCCCAAGAAAAGACACCAUGGUGGAGGAUUCCACCAUGGUGGAGGAUUCCACCAUGGUGGAGGAGUCCACCAUGGCGGUGGUUGUGGAGGGGGAGGUGGUGGUGGUGGUGGUGGUGGUGGUUGUGGAGGUGGCGGUGGUGGUGGUUGUGGAGGUGGAGGUGGAGGUGGAGGUUGCUGAAGAAAAAGCAAAAUAGUUUUUACUCAAAAUAUCCUACAAAUGUCAUAGAAUGGCCUUUUUCUUAUGAAAUAAACCUCAAAAUUAUUGUCUUCAAUGUUAGAAUCCAUGUGAGCAAGUCCUAGUAGAGGUCGAUGUAUUUGUUGAUAUUUUCUUUGCAUUGAACAUUAUUUAAUAAUAUAUAUAUGAUUGUCUUUAUCUUCUGUUUCCUUUUUAUAAAUAGCAUGAAUGUAAACGAGAUUUCAUCUUUUACAAAGUCCCUUUGACAACCGCAUGGUCCAAUACCAUUAAAAACUGUGGCAGCUUGAUAAGAUGGAUGGACUUCCUAGUUUUGAAAAUGAAUCAAUUUAACAAACCUUCAUCCCCAGUAUAUAGACAAGAGGAUCAAGACCUGAGAUUUUCUGUUCCUUAUCAUGAAAAGUCAGCAUCAACAGCCAUUGUUUCUUCAUAACUUGCCGACCUCUCAAGCUUGAGAUUAAAAAAUCAAAUUUUCUUUAAAGCUUCAGAUUGAGAUUAGCAAGAUGUCUUGAGGACAAAGGAAACUUGAGUGAGCCACACGGCUUGGAGUUGACAAAAAAAAUCAAAAUUUUAAAUAUGUCCCAUCUUCUACAACUGUAGUAGAAAUAAUGGCAAGAGGUUUGAUGGUAGAAGCCUAGAAGGCGGUGGAGGAGAAGUGGGUAUGAUGGCUUCAAACUCCCUUACAGGUUUGCAUGGUGGUUAAAGGUUUGAAAUUUCGGUGUAUGCCUAAUUAAAUUUUACGCGUAUAUAUAUAGAUGUAUCGAUCAAAUAAAAUUGAUUUAAAAUUUAUGAAAGUGUUUAAAAAAAAUAAUACAUAUAUUAAAAUUAUUUUAUAAAUAUAAUUAACAUAAAUAUAAUUAAAUAUAAUAUUUAUCAAAUUAUUAUAAAAAAAAAUUAGCUUUAAUAUUCAUUUAUUUAAAAAUUUUAAAAAUACUUUUAUUAAAAUAUGUUUUAUUACAUUUUAAAUAAAAAAUUAAAAUAUGUUUUAUUACAAUUUAAAUAAAAAAUUAAAUUGAUUUAUAUAAAAUAAUUUAUUUGAAAUUUAAUUUUUAAAAUUUCAUUAUAAAUAUGUCAUGAUAACUUUUCUAUUAACAUUAAUUUAUUUAAAUAAAAAAAAUUAUUAAUAAUUUAUCUUAUCAAAUUAAUAUCAGUUUAUAAAAUAUGAUUAUUUUAUUUUAUUUUUUAUAUUGUAGCAAUUUUUUUAAUAAAAUUAUAUUUUUAAUAUUUUAAAGUAAAAAUACUUAAAAUUAAAUAAAAUUAAAAGGAUAAAUAAAAAAAUUAAGAGUGAAGUGAUAGUAAUUUUUAAAAUAGAAUUAAUGAAAUAAAUAUGAAAAGUAGUUCAAACUAAAAAGAUAAUAUAAAAUAAAAUUUAAAAUAAAUAAUUUAAAAAUCAAAGAACUUGGUAAAUAUUAACAAAAAAAACUGGGGUUUUUUGAAAAGUCUCAAAAAUAAUUGCUAAAAAAUGAACAAUUGUUUUGGGAAAAAACUCUCCACGUGUGUUUUUCGGAAAAAAAUUAGUUUUUUUAGCGAAAUUUCAAUUUUUACUGAAAUAUCGGCUAUAUCGUCAUAUUUCCCCUUUUUUGGCGACAAAUCGUCUGAUCAUUAAUCGAUAAUUGAUUUCACUCUACCACCUCUGAUAUCUAAUUUCAUCGAUAUUUCAAUGAAAUAUCCCGAAAUUUCAAUCCUUAAUCCCUCUCAAUUCUAUCCAUGGUCAUAUUUGUUUGUCGUAGUCAUAGAGGAGGUGUAGGAGGAGGAGGCAGACAUGACGGAUCAUGGAGAUGGAGGAGUUGGUUUUGGAGGUGGAGGCAUUGAUCUUGGAGGUGGAGGCGGUGAUUAUGGAGGGGGAGAUUUGGGAGGUCUAGGCAUUAAUGUUGGAGGUGGAGGCAUCGGUUUUGGAGGUGGUGGCGGUGGUUGUGGAGGGGGAGGGGGUGGUGGUGGCUUUGGAGGUGGGGUUUUCUAUAGCAAAAGGAAAAUAGUUUUUACUCAUAAUGUCCUAUAAAUGUCAUAGCAUGACAUUUUUUAUAAAAUAAACCUUGAAAUUCUUGUGUCAUAGAGAUGAUAAUCUUGUCAAAAAAAAUAUGUAAAAGAAAAAAACUCUCAUAUUCAACUUGAUUCAUUGUUAGUCCAUGUGAGCAAGCCCGGUCGAGGUUGAUGUAUUUGAUGCAUUUGUUGAUAUUUUUUUUGUAUUGAAGCUUAUAAAUAGUAUAUAUCAUCUCUUAUUUUUUGUUUCCUUUUUAUAAAUAAUAUGAAUAUAAUAGAAGUUUUACCUUUUUUUUCCUAAGUUAAAUGUUUUAUACUAGUAAAAAAAACCGAUAAAUGUUCAAUCGGGCACAAAAUGACGAGAGCAAAUUUUAAGCAUUCCUAGAAGUGCUCAUAGACCAUUUAAUUUUUCCUAUUCCAAAAUUUUAGUUGGAUUAAUGUUAUGAUCCAAAUUAGAGAUGUGAUCUUUAAUUGGUUGUAUAUAUAUUUCACAUUACUUAUAAGAUAAGAUUAUCGAUCAUACUUUUAGUCAAGUUCUUCAAGACAAAAAUGGAGUCCUAGCAUUUUACAAACCAUUACUUUGAGUGUAUUAAUAAGAAGGUUUUGUUGAAGUAUAUAAAUUCAUUUUUGCCUCCAUUAAUGAUUAAUUAGUGGAGAACAUUCAUAAUGUUGAAUGAACACUAGCUUCUAAAUAUAUAUGCCAAAGAUCAAGUAUAAGGAGUUGAUUGUAAUUUUAAAAUCCUAGUUGGUUGGGUGUCAAACCACAAAAAAAUGAUUUUAGAUGUAUAGGAAAAACAAAGGUGUUGAAGAUAAGAAGACCCCUUAGACUCCCUUUUUCUCUCAUGGAUGCUCUCAAUUGGAAAACAAGCACAAUUUAAUUAAUUAAUCUAAUACUUCAAUUUAGGAGUUAAACCUUCUUGUGAAAUCCUUAAAGCCCUCACAACCCAUUUGUUUGCUAAAUUAAGAGCUCAAUAAUACAAGCACAAAGUCAAAAUAGCUCUCACAACUACCCUCAAAAGGACCCCUAAACUCCAAUUUUAAAGUAUCAAGACAUGAUAUUCUAAUUAAAAAUGGAGACAUUCAACUUACAAGUUGAAUAAAUCAUUAAUUAUCUAAGAUUUGAUGAUUAUUUCAUGGGCACAAGGGAGGUCUUAAAGACCCCCUUCUGUCCAGCCUAAAGCGCUCCUCAAAAGAUAUGAAAAUGGAAUGAAAAUGAAGACUAAAAAAAAAAAGCACAGGGAAACCAUUAUUAAAAACUAAGAUUAAAGUUCAAUAUUAUAUUAAACUAAAACUUAAAAAUAAGUGCAUCUAAGUAUAAUCAAUGGAAAGAAGCUUGAGAGAUUACAAAACAAUUAAAAGGAGCAAAAACGUGAUAAAAAUUGAAGUUAUAGCAAGUCCCAAGCUUGGAGGGUUGAAAAAGAGCUCCCACCAAGGGGCCUCCUCCAAAAUCCAUUUUUCAACUACAAAAUCUCUUUAAAUAGUACAAUGUGAGUGCAUUGAAAACAAGAUAGGAGAUCUAACGGUGGCUUGGAAAAAGUCCAAAAAUAUGAGUCCCACACAUUCUUGGAGUUCUAGAACAAAUUAACGACAGUGCUACCUUCUAUUUAGCCUAAAGCGCUACUCAAAAGAUAUGAAAAUGGAAUGAAAAUAAAAACCCUAAAAAAAAAAAGAAAAAACACAAUGAAAUCAUUAUUAAAAACUAAGAUUAAAGUUCAAUAUUAUAUUACACCAAAACUUAAAAAUAAGUGCAUCUAAGUAUAAUCAAUGGAAAGAAGCUUGAGAGAUUACAAAACAAUUAAAAGGAGCAAAACAUGAUAAAAAUUGAAGUUAUAGCAAGUCCCAAGCUUGGAGGGUUGAAAAAGAGCUCCCACCAAGGGGCCUCCUCCAAAAUCCAUUUUUCAACUACGAAAUCUCUUUAAAUAAUACCAUGUGAGUGCAUUGAAAACAAGAUAGGAGAUCUAAUGGUGGCUUUGAAAAAGUCCAAAAAUAUGGGUCCCACAUGUUCUUGGAGUUCUAGACCAAAUUAACGACGGUGCUAGAGAAAAUGGCACCAAUUUAUAAAGGGGGGCCAUCUUGGUGAUAUUUUUCUAGUAGGUAGGCUUCUUUAUGGCACAACGGUAGAGAGGAAAUGGUGCUAGGGAAAGCUUUCAACUCCUUUAGUACUUUUCUUAUUUUUCACCAAUAUUUUUUUAUUUUUUCACAAGGGUAAACAAUGUCCAAAUCUUCUAAAAUUUGGUGAAAUUGCUUUUCAAAAAGUCUAAAAUUUAAUAAAAUUCACCUAAACUCAUUUUCUAUUGAUCAAAUUUUGUUAGAUUAUAGAGAAAUCCGGAUUUUGUUAGGUUACUAAAAUGACUAAGGGGGGAAAAAGUAUGAAUGAAUCUAGAAUUUUCUAUUUGAUUUAUGCUUGAGAAUAUAAAAAAAAAUCAAAUAUAAUGAAAAUCAUCUAGAGACUUUGCUCUUUAUACGACAAAAAAAAGACGAAGAAUAAAUUUUAAAAAGUAAGAAAUUUUUUCUUUCAAGUUUAAAUCAAUUUUAGUUUUUCUUCACUUUUUCUCUUCUUAAUUAAUCUUCUUUCCUUUAUUUUCUUUUUUCUAAUAUAUAGUUUUUUUCAAACUUUCCAAAACAAAAUUACUCCUGAAAUGAAAUUUGGAGGGCAUCAAAAUUGAAAAAAUUACACAAGUAUAACAUGAGAUCUUACAUUAGCUUACUAAUGUGCCUACUUUUUUAUAUAUUUUUUAUAUAUGUAAAUAGGUAGGGAAGAAAAUGAUAAAAAUAUUUCUAUUACAUGCACUUGUAAAGAAAAAAGUGAUUGUUUAAGGGGAAAAAUCCUUUAAAAAAAAAAUAGAAAAUACUAAAUAUUUUCUCCCAUUUUAAUUUUAAAAAAACACACUUAGGAGAAGUUUGGAAAAAAAAAUACUUUUUAAAUAAUUUAAUUUAUUUAAAUUUUUCCAUAUAUAAUAUCUUACUUCUCUAUUUUCUUUCCUUUAAACUUUUUAAAAACCAACCAUAACAUAAAGGAUCAUACUUUAUAUUGUCUUAUAAAUACAUGAGAAAGAAUAUUAAUGACUGCAUUAAGUGUUUAUCAACUUUAUGGAAUUAUUGUUAUAUGGAUUAGCUUGAAAGCGUUCAUUUGUAAGCACUUUAGUUUUUCUUGUUGCCAACAAACCCUAAUAUCUAUUUUUAUCCUUAAUUUUUUUUUAUGCCAAAAAGUGGGGGUUUUUUCUAAGGUUUUAAGUCAUUUCACAAUAAGACAAGCGAAAAAUACAUCCAAAGGUAAAAUACUUUUCAUUAAAAAAUUCUUGGUUGUAUAAGAAAAACCGUAAGUCCUAAUUUUUGUUGUUGGCUAGUUAUACUUGGGCUAUAUUUGAAUUCAAGAAAGUAUUAAAAAUAGAAGAAGAAAUGUAGGUAGGAAUUUGAAAACCAUAAAUAAAAUAAAAAAUAAGAAAAUUUAAUUAUAAAUUCAUACUUUUUUUAAUUCUCAUGACUUAAAAUAUUUAUAGAGAUAUUCUUAUUAAUUUUCCUUCGAUAAAAAAACACCUAAUAUUAUAAUUACAUAUAAAUAUAAGAAAUAUUUUAAAUGAUAUUCUUUAAAAAAUGAAUUUAUAUUAAUUAAAAAUUUGACAAUUAAUUUCCCAUAUUUUCUUUCUCUCAAACUUUUCGUAACCAACCAAAUAUAUCCUUAAUAAAUAGCAUGUAUUUAUCAUUUGCAGAAGUUUUCGUUUUUUCUUAGUAAAAAAUACUUACACGAAAAAAAAAAAAAAAAAAGUCUUAUUAAUGCUUGAUCAAAGAAAACAAAAGCCAAAAGUAUAAUUUUGAUUUUUCCUAACAAUUCUCAUAGAUGUAUCAAGUUCGGUUAAUUUUGAAAUUUGUAUUAAUGCUAUAUAAAAAAUUAAAGAUAUAAUCAUUUGAAGUGUAUCAUAUUAAUUAAUUAGAAGAUAAAAUUGUUUCUAAGUAGAGUAAAGGUAGAGUUAUUCACAAUAAUUAUAUAUAGAAAAAAGUGAAGAAGAUUGAUUUUAAAAUAUUUAAGAGAACUUUGUGCCAUUCCAUAUUCUUUUCAAAAUUAUUCUUUAAUAUAAAAUUUUCACAAAUACUUUUGACACCCACAUGGUCUUAAUACCAAAUUCAAGAUUGUAUCAUCUUAAGAUGGAUACACUUCCUAGUUUUGAAAAUUAAUCUAAUUACUUAACAAACUUUCAUUCCAAGUUACUUACUAUUUUCACAAAGUACAAAAAAAAAAAAAACAAAAACAAAAAACAAACCAAGACCUAAGACUUGUGCUUCUUAUGAUCAUGAUGGCUUGAGGUUGAACAAGCUCAUCAAAAUUUAGAAAAUUAGACCAAGCAUGACCUCAUGAUCAAAUGUUGCAAUAUUGGCCAAUAAUUAUGUCCAAUCUUCUACAACUCUAAGCAUAGAUUAGAAAGCAACCAUGGCAAGGGGUUUGAUGGCAGUGGGUGGUGGAGAGGCUGUGUGCAUGGUGGCUUCAAGCUCUAGGGCUCUCUUUUUGCUUUGCUUUGUCGUUAUAUCAUUCCCAAUUACAGCCAUGGUGGUAUUUGCUUGCGGUGAUUGUUCUAAUUCUCAAGACAAAGAAAACACGAAAUGUAGUACUUGGAGGAGCAAGUACUUGUGGAGGUUGCUAAAGAAAAAGCCAAAUAGUUUUUAACUCAUAAUAUCGUAUAAAUGUCAUGGAAUGACCUCCAUAAAAUAAAUGUCAAAAUGAUAAACUUAUAAAAAAUAUUUCAAAAAGAAAAAAAAAAAUCAUAUAUUCAACUUGAUUCAUUGUUAGAGUCUUUGUCAUCAUAUAAUCAAUAGCAUAUAUAUGAUGUCUUAUUUUCCUACUUCCUUUUAUAAGUAACAUGAAUGUAAAAGAAGUUUUUUUUCUUUUCUUUUCUUUUCUUUUCUUCCAAUAAUAAAGAUUAUUUAGAGACAUCCAUGGAAAUUAGAGAAGAUAAAAUAAGAUGAUGAUUCAAAAGAAGGUAUAAAAAUAAUUUAUCAGUUUUAAAUAUUUUUUCUUUUAUUUUCUUCUAAUUUUCAUCUUUAUUUUCUUUAUCUCAUAUAUUUCCAUAAACUUUUUAAAGUCUAAAUCUAAUAGGACGAAUAGUACUAUAUGUACUAGAUAAUCAACUUCAACCAUGAAGUUACAAAAAGGACCCUAUGCUAUUUUUCUAGGUACCAGGCCAUUACCAGCCAACAUGUUGGGCCGGCACGGUCCACUUAAAAAUUAUGUCGGGUCGAGCCAGCCUAUGCAAGCUAAAUAGGUGAUCCGACACGGUCCAUAAGCCAACGGCCCAUGGCCCAUGGGUCACUCACUUUGUUAAAAUUUGUAUUUUAAUUUUUUUAAGUCAUUUUGUCUUAAGUCUUUUUCAUUAUUAAAUGAAAUUUCUUUUUAUUACUCUAAACAUCUCUAAUAAUUAUAUUAUAUAUAUAUAUAUAUACCUCUAAUAAUUAUAAUUUUUUUUAUUUAUAUUUAUCGAAUUUGUAAUUGUAAAAUUUAUAGAAAUGUUAGUUUUUUGUUUUUAAAAAUAGUACAAAAAUUAUAUUUGAAUUUAUUUAUUUUUUAAUCAAAAUAACAAUAAAUUUAAAAUAAUGUAAUAUAAAAGGAAAUUAAGUAUAAAAAAUAAUUCUUUUAUUCAAUAUUUCAACAAAUUACAUAAAAAAAUAAUAAUAAGGAGACGAGUCGGCACGAUGACAGGAAAGACUUUUUCCUUAGGCCCAACAUGACCAACUCCUUUGGGUUGUACCAACCCGGGCCUAUACAAUAAUUGGGUCGUGCUCGCCAGGUCCGGUCUUUUGGUGUGCCAAGACACGAGCCAAAAUGGGCGGCCAGAUCCAUUGAACACCUCUAUUUUCUAAGCCACUAGUUAUAAUAUGAAUAUGUCAAGAUCACCAAGUCUUAUUCAUUGAAGCUUCUAAUAAGGUUCAAAAUAAUAAGGGCCUCUAUCUUGGGGAUUAGAGAAGACCACUCUAAGUGUAAGCUUGAGUAGAAGACUUUCAAUUGUUCAAAAUUGUGAAAACUACAACAACCAUGGCCUCAUUAAAUGUUAAAUUAGUCUAUCGAUGUGACCGAUCUUCUAUGGCUAUAACCAAGGAUUAAAAUUUCAACAAUAUUGUCAAAAAAUGGACCGUCAACAUGAUAUAUGGGAGGAAAGGGUAUUUUGAAUAAGAAAACAAAAAAAAAUAGUAAUUUUAAAAAUUGUUUCUUAAAAUGUGAUAAUUCAAAAAAAAAUUUCAAAAUCUACCAUACUUUAAAGAAAUCUAUAUAUAUAUAUAUGAAAAGAGAUUACAAAGUAAAAUACUUAUAAAUUCAAUUAAAAAGUAAUCACAAUCAUCUUCAAAAUCAAACUUUAUAAUAUCUUAAAGAAAAUUUGAUUAUCAAAUGAUCGAUUUUAUAUUAUAAAUACAUUUCUUAAUUAAAUAAAUAGUUUUUAUUUUAAAAAUAUAUUAAAAAUAAUUAUAUAAAUAUAAAGAAUGAUUAAAAAUAAAAAAACUUCAUAAAAAAUUGUUUUAAAAAUAUUUUUUUAAAAAAAAAACAAGUUAAAAUUAUUUCAAGUUCCAAAAAGACAUUCAUUCUACGGAAGAUUAAAGAAAAGUUUUCAAAAACUAGUUGUUAAAAUUGAUUUUUUAAAACAGUAAUGAAAUAAAUUCGUUAUAUUUUGCUCACCUGCCUCACAUUUCCGGCUUUGCCGCCAAUCUAAGAAAGCUGACUGCCAGAAAUGGUGCCAUCUUCCUUCAGAACCUGGAGUUCCCAUGCACCACUCGUUUGGUCUAUUUCCCCAACCCACCAUGGGAUCUUCAUCUGGCUUUCACCAUGGUUCCGGGUCAGGCCAACCCUUGGAAGCCAUAUAAAAAAUAAAUAGAGAAAAAGAGUACAAAGAAAAAAAAUAAAUAAAAAUCUAAGUUAUUUCAAAUUCAUUAUACAUACUUAUUUUUAAAAAAUUUAUGUAAAAAUUAAGUCAUUUAAAAAUACAUCAAUUUUAAUUAAUUUUAAUUACAUUUUAUUUAAUUUUAUAAUAGUUUAUAGUGAAACCAAAUACGAGAAUAUUUUUAUAUAUAAGUUUUCUUUUUCUUUCUUUAGAUGUACUUUUUAGUAAAAAUGAAAAUAUUGGUAAUUAUAAAUAUAUCGAUACUUCAAUUUUAUGGAUAUAUCGAAAAUAUAUUGGUGGAUAGUUUGAAAAAAAAUAUUAAUAAGAUUAAAAUGGAUCAAAACUCGUGAAAAUAUAAAAACUAAUGUCAUAGAAAUGUAAUUAGAAGUAUAAUAGAUAUUUUAAAUUUCUUUUUUUUUUUAAGAAUUUAAUAUAUGUACUAUACAAUUUAUCAUAUUUGAUAAUAAUAUCAUAUACAUCUUAUAAGUGUAUAUUUAUUAUUAAAUUAUAUCAAAUAUUAUUUGACAAUAAUAUUGUGAUUUUUAAUUAUAAUAUGUCUAAUUUUAAAAUAUAUUUAAUGUUAAAAUUAUGAUCAAUUUAAUUCAAUUAUAUUAUAAAAUAAAUUAUGAAAUAUGUAUAAAAAAAUUUUAAUAUUUAUAUUUUUUAUAUUUAAUUAAUAUAUAAAUUAUAUAAAAAUUAAGAAAAUUAUUAUCAUAAUUUUUAUAUUUUUAGUAAUCAAUUAAAUUAAAUUUAAAAAUAAAAUAAUUAGAAUUAAUUUAUUUAUUAAAAUAUUUUAUUUUUAUCCCUUCUAGUGCAUGGUUAUAUAAUAUAAGGCAAGUUAACCCAAUCCCUACAAGUCAAAAUUUAAAAUUUUUCAUUUGACUGCCAGCCCACCCUGGUGAAAACACCCUUUUAUAGGGUUUUUUUUUUUCUAGGCAAGAAUUAUAUUUUCUUUGGGAAUUUCACCCCUCCCACAUUUCGCCACCCGAUUUUGUCACCGAAAUGUAAUAUUUUAGCGAAAUUUCACCGAAAUUUUUCAAAAUUUUCAUCGUUGCUUUCUAGAACCAAAAGUGAGGAUAUGAGAGGAAAAAAAAAUGAAUUUUUAUUUUAGGGAGAAUGUAUGUUGAGGUUAAUUGGCCUGAUAAUUUUCUAAGGUCUUCUUAACUUAUAAUUGAACUUAAAACUUAAUAAUAAAGUAAAAAUUAAGAUAAAUAAUAUUACAUUUCAAAAAUCCCUAAAAUGCCCUUGAUGGUCAAAUAAAAAGACUAAUUAGUCACCCUCACCUCUUUUAUUCUCUCUUUUAUUCCCUUUCUCUCUCUCUUUUCACCUCACCCUUCUUUCACCUAUUUAUUAGUAGAACCAAGUUGAAUGAUUUUUCAAUCAUUUUUCUCCAAUAAAUUGAAUAUUAGAGAUAAAUGUUUAAAAAUAAUUAUUGUCAAAUACAUUUUUGAAGUAAAUAUUUUUUAAACAUCUAAUUUUUUUUUCAAAUUUACAUAAUAUAUAAUAAAUAUAUUUUAAAUACCAGAGAAAAUAUUUUUCAAAUACCUUGGAUACUUAUAUAAUAUAUAAUAAAUAUUAUCCUCUAUUUUAAACUUAUGUUAUUUGUCAUAUAAAUUAAAUAAUUUUUAAACACCUCAAAAAAUAUUGUUAUUCUUUGUUUGUUUUAACUUACAAAUUAGAUAUCAUAAAAUAUUAUUAUUUUUUUCAAACUUAUAAAAUAUAUAAUCAAUAUUUUUUAAAAUACCUUAGAUUUUUUUUUUCUUACUUACAAAAUAAUAAACAUGUUCUACACGAUUUCUCAUAUAUACUAAACAACUUUUAAACACCUCAUAAAAUAUUAUUACUCUUUUUUUUCUAACUAGCAAAUUAGACACAUUGUAUUUAUUAUUUCUCAUAUUAUUACGAAAAUAAUAUAAACACUCACACUAUUCAAGAUAUUCAAAAUUUGUACAUUCCGAAAGUACCUAAUUACCCCCACACUAAUCCUAAAUAUUUUAAAAUAAAGAUUUAAAUAUUUAAAACCAUUAAAAUAAAUAUAUUCCUAUUAAAGCAAUUUUUUUAAAGUAAUAAAACAAAAAUCAUGAAAUCUUCAAAACUAGAAUUACAACAAAAUAUUUAAAUUUUAAAAUUAAUUCAAUAAUUUAAAUUAAUGAUUUUAAAAAAUAGAAAUGUUACAAAAAUAAUUUUUAGUUAUUUUUAAUUCCAUUUAAAUAUGAUUUUUUAAUCUCUAUUGAUAACGACGAAAUUAUGUUUAUAAAGGAAAAAUAGUAAAAAUAUAUAUUUUAUUUCCUAUAUUAUAAUUUUGGUAGGAAGAUCUUAAUAGCAUAGUUUGGUAAACAAAAAAAAAUAUUGGGGACCUCGCAUUUCGGCUAAAUGCGUUUUCCACUUGAAUGACAAGCUCGAUUUUUAUUUGAAAAAUGAUUUAUUAUUGAUUAAAACAAUGACUUGGAGUCGCCACUUAUUUUUAUUUUAUUUUUAAAAGGGUAAAAAAAUAAGAAAAAAAAACCCUAAGUGUGACUCCUUAUUUUUGAAAAAAGUGGUCUGUGAAAAACUGGAUCGGGUUCGGAGGUCAGGUUACUUAUCGGGAAGGUACGGUAUGAACCGUAACACCCCUCUAAGUCCCUAAAGUAGGGUCUCUAUUGAUAAAAUGAAGCUGACGUGAUAGUCAAUAAGAAGGUCAAUGGAUACUCACGUCAAUCAUGCAUAUAUGAGGAUCAUGAUACGUACAGUGAAUGAUCAGAAUGAGUGAAUGCGUACUUGGGCGGCAAACAGCAACGUGCUUUCAUGAAAUGGGGUUAGUGAAUAAACAUAGAAUGAUCACAUGUAUGUUAAGAAAUAGAGUAAAUCAAUCACGCAUGUCAAAUAAAUAAAUAAAUAAAUCAAUCAAUUAGUCAUAAAAUCUCAUAUGUGGGGUCCUCCCCACCAAAACCCAUUCAUUUUUGCAUGAAUUAAUUCCAUAAACCCCAUUAUUUAGAAUUACAGAAUUGGUACUUGCUUAUUUUAAAACAUUUUGAAAAUAAAAGGAGUCGUGAAAAUUGUUUGCCAGAAGGGAAAAUGGCAACAAAAUUUUAUGGAAAAUGGGAUUUUUGAAACUUAAAGAAACUCUAAGAAUAACAUAUGAGAGAGUUGAAACUAUUUGAAAGCCAAAAUUCGAAAAGUUAUUUACAAAAUGAUGUUUGGGGAAGAUUAUUUUCAAAAUCAAAGAAUAAUGAGCAAUGGCAAAAAGUUAGAUGGGGUAAAGGUGACUAUUCAGUCUAUGCAUAAGUGGAAAAGAUGAAGAAUGAUGACCACGUAGGUGUGAAUCUCAGAGAGUUGUUAUGUUGAGUGUACCAAUAGUUCAUCUUCAACUGAAUUGCGUGUGCUUUCUACACUAACCGGCCAUGCACAUGCUUCACUACCCCAACUAACGCACCCAUCAUGAAGUACACUUGUUUGAGUUCCGUGACUCCCAGAAGCCUAAGGUGGAUUAGCUUUCCAUACUGCACGCUCAUACCCAGAAAUCCUAUAAAUACCGCCAUGACCAAUCCUCAUAUAGCCAUUUCACCCAUCCCACAAGGUUGUAAUAAUCUGGACAGUGUAAGCACAUCAUUCAUAACAUCACAAAGAGGAUCAACUACUGGAUGAACAGUGAAGUCAUUGAGAUGUUCCAUUAUAUAAUCCUCACUUCUUGGAGAUGCACUAGGUUUGCCACUGAGCAGUCUCUUUGUACUCCUACAGGAAUAUGAACGGAAGUACCUUUUUCGAAAUUUGGGUGAAAAUGUGCAUAAAAACUCCAAAAAGGGACUGUAUCUUUCUUCUCCUCUUUCUCAGAACAGUCCUUCUAGUUCUAGCAAAUUCUUUAACGCCAAACUAACUUAGGUUUCCCACAUGAUUUCUGACCGUUUACUUGGAUUUGCAAUGGGAUCUUGCGCCUUGUCCUCAUUUAAACCCACGGCAGAGAACCUAACAAUGAAAGCUGUCUUGAUCAUUAUGAUAGGGAUUCCCAUGCUGAAGCUGAAACUAUUACCAAGUAAACCUUCGGGGUAACUGAUGGCGCGUCUUGAGGCUGAUCGUUGCCUGCAAUUCUGACGGAUUCCAUUGCUGAGAUGAAUGUUCAUUGCUCAUGCCAUACUUGAUUCAAUCAUAAUUAGUGACAAGGAGUUCCAGAUUUCUAUUUGCGCACUUAGGUUUGAUGCGGACAUGAUGCUUCCUUGAUACAAGUGAUUUCUAAAACCGCGGCAGAGAUAUUCCCUUCACAGAGGCUGAGAGUGGGAUUGAGGAUGCAUUGGUGCCAAGCAUCAUGACACCAGAGAAAACCAAACAAGUGGUUGUCCGUGUCUUACAGGCAUGACAGUGUAGAACAAGUGGAAACUGAGGAUUCCUGUUGAAAGGGUUGCACCAACUUUUAAAACAAUAUGAGAUGGGUAAAAAGAUUAAUGAUUUUUCAUGGCUUGCGACAUGAAUCUCUCCACAACUGCUUUCCUUUCCAUUAACUCAUCUGACACUUGAUGAUUUGCAGACCCGCCCUUGCUAAACUACCCACUGCUUCCGCUCCAAAUCAAUGUGUGUUCCCUUGCGUUCUCCACGUGUCAGCCUCGAAUGGAACCCAUUGAUAUCCUAUUUUCAGUCAAACCAAGCUGAAUAACCCCCUUUGUAAUGCUCAGUUCAUCAUAAGGACUUUCCGAAACCUCCUUCAAUUCUCCACUUUGCUAUAUUUCUCAUUACAAUGUCUAUCCCAUCAAUGAAUACAUUCCUUAUAUAAAGUUGUGAUGUAACCGAACUAUCAGGCUUGGGGGCCUCGGACCAGUGGACUUAGAGAUGCCACCUCUGCCACUUUCAGGUCCAAUUUAUUUCGCCUCAUUUCAAUCAGAAGUUUAAAUUUCAUGAUCUCUUACGUGACUUUCUUGUAUCGUGUUCAUCCUAGCUUCAGCCAUCACGGCGAGAGUGCCAAAAUCAGAUUCUUCAACGUGCCAACCAAACAAGAGAAACUUCCAGUUGGCGAUGCAUGAAACAACCCAGAUCUCUUAAUUUUCUUUGACUGUGGGGUCCAAAAAUAACAAGCUUUCCCUGCUUUAGACUUCCGUCGCAUCGACCAACGAGACUAAUUCAUGAGAUGGGCAUGGUAUGAUGAAACAUGGAGAGUGAUGAAUUUGAGUGGUUUUAGGUGGUGCUAUAGAGAGAGUAUGUGAGGGUGAUGAUUUGCAUGGGAUUGGUAACAUAGGGGAGAGAGAAGAGGUGGUGAUGGUGUACGGGUUGGGUAUGAAGGCUUUAAUGGGUGUGAGCAAAUUGACACGGUGAUGAGCGUGUUAGGGGUAUGAGAGAAAGGUGCGGAUUAUGAUUAAUGGAAUGGGCGGUAAAAGCUGAUGAGAGAAGUGAAUUUUCUGGUGGAGUACGCGGCUGAAUUGAAAGAAAUGGGUUGGAAAAUGGGGCGCCUAAGAUAGUCAUGCAUGCACAUGCAUCUGGGGAAAGAUGAUAAGGAGUUGGUAUUUUCUAAAAAAAAAUGGGGCGCCAGUGCUACUGUCACUGGCGCGGAGCAACACACUCCAUGCUUGAUAUGGUUCCUCGCCGAGAUUGAUCUGCUGUUAAUCAAGCUCCCAUGAAGUCCCGCUACCCCAUAUAAUAGAUGUCCAAUUCUCUGGGGGAAGGCAUCCAAUAAUGACCACCCAAAACACUGGACGAGGCACCCAUAAAAUGCAUUGAAGAUUUUCCAUGUUGGCUUAAUGAGGUAAAAGGCCAGUCGAAUACCAAUACUCUCACCUUCAACGAAAUUUUGAAUGAACAUCAUGCUGCUCUCCUUAGUAACUGAUGCACUCAAAAGCUACCAUUGUGCCGAUCUGCUUUCUAAAGAAUGACCAAUGUUUUCUCUGCUUCCUCGGUAUUAUUCACUUGUGACAUUUCUCUGAUUCCUCUUAUUGCUUUAUCAAAGUCUUUGUUUGUAACAUAAUGAUCCAGAGACCUCCCCCAUCGUUCACCCUUGCAUUGAUCAAGCUCUUAUCAAAAGACCAUACGUUAAAUUUAAAUAUCACUUGUAAUCCAAAUGGAUACACAGAACAUUAUUCGGGAGUCCACCUCUUCCCUUAUUGUUUUGAUCCAAACAAACCCCAAACUCGGUGAAGAGAAAACAGUUGGAAACAGGAUGUGUGAUGAUGAGACUCAAAUCAGAGUGAUCCUGAGUGAAAUUCCACCAUUCUUAUGGAAAAGCAUUUUCGAGAAGCUACUAAAACUGCUCUCCUUCUUCACGAGCCCAGAUACUAAAUUGUGGCAACGUCAAAGACAUUAUCUCACUACAUGAGCAGGAGCUCACAAAUGGUGAUAUACGGAUAAAGGCAUUCUACGACCAGAAACACAGGAGUAGAGAAGUACAUAGAAUGAAAUGGCUAAAAAUAGAGCAAAAAUGAGAGACCCGAGUUAUUAGGCAGAGCCUAGUUUCUGGAAUGAUAAGCGAGAUCAAAAUAGGUGGGACACGUGGGAAAACUUCAAUAUGACUAUCAAGCAUCAAACCCAAACCUAAAGAGGGAUCUCACCAUUUACAGAGGGGAAAACAAGAGUAUGAGAGGAGGAUAAAACAGAGCAUAUAGGAGCAGAAAAUCACAUUCAACCAAAGCAAACCUGUGGCCCUUGAACGUCCACAGCAAAUUACAAAUAGAUAUUCGUUAGAUUAGCAGAGAAUGAAGUGGGAUUUUAAGAAAUGAAAACGCACCAGAUUCAAAGUGAUGCUUCUGAUGGCUCCACAGCACAAACUUCUCCUCCUCAGCUUGCAAGCUUUCUCUUAGAAACUCUCUGUGUAGCUUGCUUCCCCAACUAAUCUCGCUUCUCCAGGAAACCCACACCUCCAAAAAUACUUCCUGCUCUAGCUUGAGGACCCUCCCUAAAAUUCUGCCAGCCUCCAGAAAAAUAUCUACUAGUUCUCCCCAACAAUAAUGGAUAUCCCUUACUCUUCCCAAAAUCUCUUCCUCCACUCACUGCAAAUCCCCUGAAGAAGCACCAACCCUCAAAAAAAAAAUUUUCCCCUGAAAACCGCCAAGACCCCUCUGCAGCUUCAGAAUAUCCCCCUCAAUGCAGCUGCCUCACCUCUCUCUAAAAUAUCUCCUAACCGUUUGCAGCUUUUUCUGAUUCUUUUCUUGCCACGUGUCGACCUCUGGUUGGCCAUCAAAAGCACCACUCGGUGCCCUGAAAACCAACCAGAAAUUGACACGUGGCCACCCUAGAUGGCGACACCUGUCAAGAAUCAGCUGCAAGAAUGACUCCCAAAAUGGGGGUCUCCAAAUAUACAUAUUGAUAAUCGUCCUAAUGACAAGCUUAUGUUGUUUACAAAUUGUACAAAACCUAUUAGAAGUCUUAUAUAUCCUUAUACAAUUAUUAUAUUUUAUCUUAUACAGUUAGUGCAACACCCUUAUACAUUGAUGCAAAUUUUAUAUACAUGCAUAAAUAAUGUAUCCACAUAGAUGUGUGAACCCUAUUUCCAAUAGUUUGGUUUAGAAAAGACAGGAAGACUUAAAGAACAAGUUUUUCUCCAAACAUCAUUAGUGAGAUAAAUAUUCGAAUUAUCAUAUACGAGUUAAAUAAAGUGUAUAAGAUAGGUAUGUGAUGAACAAAUAUGCAACAUGAGAGUAUAUAGUUUUUGGGUGAUAAGAAAAAUAAAACAAGAGGUUUAUAAGCGAUUAAAAUUCUAUAUAAAGGGUAGUCUUGUACACCACUUGUACACUUAGUAUAUUUCUCUUGUACAGUUAGUGCAAUACCCUUGGACAAUGACACACAUUUCAAAUCACUCCUAAGUUAUGUCUCUGUAUAGGUGUGUAAACCAUGUUUCCAAUAGUUUGUUUGAGAACUAAGAAAAACAUUACUAAAACUAAAAAAAUAAAAUAUGGAGUUACAAAAUAUGGAUGAUGAAAUUUAAACAUAAGAGUUGAAAUAAUAAUUAGGAAUUUGGGUGGGGAAAUUGUACAAUCUUUGGGUAACAAGAAAAAAUAGGGAGAUUUUUUCAGAAUCAGUUCAAAUCCUUAACAAAUGACAACCUUGUAUACUUGGUAUAUUUUCCUUAUACAGCUAAUAUAAUACCCUUGUAAGUGAUGCAAAUUUCAUAUCUUUCAUAAGUUAUGUGUCUACGUAGGUGUGCUAACCAUGUUUCCAAUAGUUUGUUUGAGAACCAAGAAAAAUAUUACUAAAACUACAAAAAUAAAAUAUGGAGUUACAAAAUAUGGAUGAUGAAAUUUAAACAUAAGAGUUGAAAUAAUAAUUAGGUGAGGGAAUUUGGGUGGGGAAAUUGUACAAUCUUUGGGUAACAAGAAAAAAUAGGGAGAUUUUUUCAGAAUCAAUUCAAAUCCUUAACAAAUGACAACCUUGUAUACUUGGUAUAUUUUCCUUAUACAGCUAAUGUAAUACCCUUGUAAGUGAUGUAAAUUUCAUAUAUUUCAUAAGUUAUGUGUCUACGUAGGUGUGCUAACCAUGUUUCCAAUGGUUUAGUUGAGAACCAAGAAAGAACAUUGCUAAAACUACAAAAACAAAAUAUGGAUAAUUAAAUUUAAAAAUAUGAGUUAAAACAAUUAUUGGGUGCAUGAGAGAAUUUGAGUGGGGAAAUUGCAUAAUCCUUGGGUAACAAGAAAAAAGAUUGAGAGUUUUUCAAAAUCACUUCAAAUCCUUAACAAAUGGCAUUAUUGUAUACGCUUAUAUAGUUAGUACAUCUGUCUUAUACAAUUGAUGCAACAGUCUUGUAUAGUGGUACAAAUUUCAUCUACAUACAUAAAUUAUGUGUCCACAUAGGAUGAGUGAACCAUUUUUUCAAUGAUUUGGUUAAGAAAAUGAUAAAAGACUAAAAAACAAAAUUUUUUCCCACACAACAUUAGUAAGAUAAGUAUUCGAAUUCUCAUAUGUAAGUUAUAUAAAGUGUACAAAAUGAAUGUGUGAUGGAGGAAUGUAUGGCAUGAGAGUGUGUAAUCCUUAAAUGACAAGGAAAAAAAAGUUGUCCAAAAUUGGUUGAAAUCUUUCACAAAUGAUAGCCUUGUACACCUCUUAUACAGUUAAUGUAACACCCUUGUAUAACGAUACAAAUCUCAUCCACAUGCAUAUUUUAUUUGUUUCUUCAUUUAUAUUGUUUGUAUUUCAUGGAAAACCACUUGAAGCAAAUAUGAUGAAAAUUAAUUUGAUGUGUGCAAGUCUGUAAACAAUGUUAGAACUAGUUUGAUAUAUAUUUAUAUAAAAUAAUAAAUAAAUAAUAAGAAAAAUGAAAGAUGAAAUUAGAUAAUAAAUUAUUUAUAAUUUUUUAUUCAAUUUUAAACUUUUUUAGAAAACAAAUAUUUUUAUUAUUGAAUGAGUGUGGACCCCGCAUUUUCACGUGCGUUCCCACUCGACGACAUGACUCGCUUUUUUAUUUGUUUAGUGAAAUUUUUGAUUUUUUAAAAAAGACUUGGAGCCACUACUUAUUUUUAUUUUAUUUUUGAAGGGAAAAAAAAAUAAAAAAGAAAAACCCUAAGUGUGACUCCUGAAGGAAAAAAAAAAUAAGUCUAUGAAAAACCGAGUCUAGGUUCGGGGGUCAAGUUACUUAUUGGGAAGGUACGGUGGUGAGUUGUAGCGUUCCUCUAAGCCCGUAUACAUACGGUCUCUACUAAACUAAUUGAGGGAAUGAUGACAAUUAACUAAUUAAUCAUGGAUACCAAAAUUAAUAACAUAAAUCAAUAUACACAAAAGUGAUAACAAAAUAAAAUGACAAGAAUAUACAAAAUAAAUGACAAUAGAAUUAUGCAAAAUAAAUGACAAUAGAAUUAUGCAAAUUAAUUUAUUGAACUAAUUAAAAAAAUAUUUGAAAAAAAUUAGUUUUCUAAAAAUUUCAAAGGAUUUUAUUAAAAACAAUUUUGGAUGGGUGAUUUCAAUUUAUUUAUUUACAAAACGUUUUCUUCGAGUGAUUUGAUUCGAUUUCAUAUGUAUUCAAUUUUCAAGAAAAGUUAUUUAAACUUAUUGUAUCAAAAGAAUUUAUUACAAAAUUUUAAUUUGGGCACAAAUAUUAUUUUUACUUGUUUUUACUAGAAAAUAAUGAAUUUUUACAAUUUUAUUUACAAAAGUAUUUUGAUUCAUUUUCAUUUAAAAAAAAUAAAAAUUAAAUUCUCUAUUUCUCAAAAUACUUUUAAUCUCAUUUUAAUUAAGGAAAAAAAGAAUUCAUUAAAAAAACAUUUUUUUUGGACAACUUUAUUAAAAAUUAAUUUUUGGGACAACAUUAUUUACAAAUCAAUUUUUGAACAAUUUUUAUUAAACAAAUAAAUUUUCAAUUCUAUACACAGUCAAUAAAUAUAUACAAACGAAUAUUUACAAGAACUAAUAAAAAUAAAACCAAAUAAAAGUAAGAAAUAAAAUAUGUGUCAAAAUAAACUUACAACAAGCUCCACGUGUCAUCAAUUCAUACUCAGCCAACAAGAUUGUAGAGCAGGCCAACAAACUCCCACGUGUCAUCAAUUCGUACUCAACCAACAAGAUUGCAGAGUAAGCCAAUGCAAAAACAAAAAUAACACAAAUAUAAAUAUCUAGAGAUUUGCAAAAUCCCAAACAAAUAUUCAAACCCAAAUUCCAAUUUCAAAUUAGUCCCAUAAAUUUUGUCAAUUACAAUGAGCCCAAAUUGCUAUAGGUCUUAACCCAAAACAUCCAAAUUAAUAACCAAAAAUAUAAACACAAUCAACCAAACCUAAAAUAGGAUAAAUUAAAAUAAAUUCUACUAGGCCUAAAUUUAAUAUACACCACAAUUGUCCCAUAUCCAAAUUAAAUAAUUCAAAUUGGUCAAACUCAUAUCAAAUAUUCAAAUAAUCCAAUAAAUCUCACUCACAUUCUAUGCCCAAAAUUCACAUCAAUUAACAAGACCACAUAAAAAAAAUAUGCAUGGUCAAAGGAAAUAAUAUUUCAAGCCCAAUCUAAUAAGCCUAAACAAAUAACAAAUUAACAAUAGACCAAAAUCUCAAUAAACAAUAUGCAAUUGAUAUGAUCCAAAUAUCCUAAAUUAAUCAUUAAAUGUAAUAUAACCAUAAAACCAAAUUAACAAAUUUCAAAUUAAUCCAUCAACAAUAAAUUAACUCAAAUUUCAUAUUAAUUAACAAAACUCAAACAUAAGCCCACAAACAAACAUAAAUUACACAAACCCAAUUUCAAUAUCAAUUACUAUUAAAAUCAAAACAAGAAUUUUUUUUAAAAAUAAUAAUAAUAAGGGUUUUACGGGAAAGUGAGGAAAUGGGAAAAUGAAAGAAAAUGGGGAGGGGUCACCGACUGGGAGUGGGCUCGUCGGCGGCAACUGGCUGGUGGUUUGUCGGCGGCAUUGAGAGAUAAUAAUAAUAAUAAUAAUAAUAAUAAUAAUAACAAUAAUAAUAAUAAUGAUAAUAAUAAUAAUAAUAAUAAUAAUAAUAAUAAUAAUAAUAAUAAUGAUAAUAAUAAUAAUAAUAAUAAUAAUAAUAAUAAUAAUAAUGAUAAUAAUGAUAAUAAUAAUAAUAAUAAUAAUAAUAAUAAUAAUAAUAAUAAAUCCAAAUAAUAGUGUUUGGAUCAAGAGAAAGUGAGGGAAAAUGAUGGAAAGAAAAAAAUGGGGGCCGGCCAGGAGAAAAAAUGGGAAACCAAAAAAAACGGGGGAGGGGAGUGUUGUGGGAAGAAGAAGAAGAAGAAAGAGAGGAAAAAAAAAUGGGGGGAUGAGCCGCAUAGGAAGAACUGGGCAGAGACUAGGACUAGAGAAAAAAUGAGGGGGCUGAAGUUGAUAGGGGCCCGCGGUGUGGGAAAAAGGGAAAAGUGGGGGGAAAAAUGGGGAGGGGGGACUGGACUAAAGGGAAUUGGGGGUGAAAGAGAGAAGAUUGGGGGAGUGGUAGGGCCCGUGGUGAGGGAUAGGAAAAGAGAGGAGAGAGAAGAGAGAAAAAUAAAAUAAUAAAAAUAAAAUAUAAUAAUAAUAAUAAUAAUAAUAAUAAUAAUAAUAAAAGUAAUGGCAAUAAAAUAAAAUAAAAUAAUAUACAAAAUAAUAAAAGCUAUUAAAUGGUGAGUGAGCCAAAAAAACACAUGUAAUUAGGAUUUGAAAUCUAAGCACAAAAUUGGGCUCGAAAUUAAUGUAAAAAUAAAAUUGGGACAAAUUUUGGGGUCUACAAAUAUACCCCUCUUUGGUAGAGUUCACAAGUAAAGUGAGUGAAUACACAAACGAAACGAAGUGAACUUUGCCGAAUAACAAGAAAGACCUCCAAAUUUGUCCCAAUAUGACAUGGGCUCUCUUAAACCAAAACAAGAACAAAGAGGCUCCAAAACCCUACAAAAAUAAAUGAGAAAAAAAUGACUCUGGGUCGUGAGUUCAAGUUUCUAAAUGGAUAGCUGAUCAAAACGCUUUCCGAUUCGUGGUGUCGGGUCGAGGCCACUCACAGGUGGCUAGAAUGAUGAAAAUGAAAUAUGUGAAUGAUAGGAACGACUCUAGGUCGUGAGCCCAGGGCUCGAAAUGCCAUGAAUGACUCUAGGUCAUGAUGCAACGAGUAACUUAGGGUUACAAUGAAUAGCCCAAGGCUAUGUGAACAACUUAGGGCUAUGAGCUCCAAGCUCUAUGAUUGAUCAGCUAGAAAGAGAAUGCGAAACGCAAACUCCAGGUCAUACCACUCAAGGGCAACCAAAUGAUGAAGGCUCAACUCAGGGCUAGAAAGACUCUGGGUCGUGAGCUCAAGGAUCUAAAUACCAAACUGUGGAGAGAUGGUGAUGAUGGCUUUAAACUCCAAGUUGGAGAUGCGGCUUUGAACGCAAAACUGUGAAGGGCUAGUGACUCUAAACGCCAAGUUGGAGGUGCGGCUCUGAACACCAAACUGAAGAUGAUGAAGGCUCCGAACGCCAUAAUUGAGAACUGACAUAUCUGAAUGUCAAACUGAGAAAGACGACUCUAAACGUCGUAACUGAGAAGCAAUGAUGACUCUGAACGUCGAGCUGUAAGGAGAAGGUGGCUCUGAAUGCCAAAACUGAGAACUGAUGGUGACUCUGAACGCCAAACUAAAAAGAGAUAGUGGCCUUGAACGCCCAAACUGAGAAGAGAUAGUGGCUCUGAACGCCAAACUAUGAACAUAACGACAACCUUGAAUGCCGGAACUAAGAAGCGAUGAUGACAGCUCUGAAAGCCAAACUGGAAAGAGACGACUCUGAACGCCAAACUGGAAAGGGACGACUCUGAACGCCAAACUGGAAAUGAAUGACUCUGAACGUCAUAACUGAGAAUGAUGAUGGCUCUGAAUGCCGAAAAUGAGAAACGAUGAUGGCUCUGAAAGCUGAAAAUGAGAAACGAUGAUGGCUCUGAACGCCAAGACUGAGAACGAUGACGACUCUAAACGCCAAAUUGAAGACGAAAGAUGGCUCUGAACGCCAAACUGAAAGGAGGUGGUGGCCUUGAACGCCAAACUGAAAGGAGGUUGUGGCCUUGAACACCAAACUGGAGAUGGUAGCUCCGAACGUCAAAACUGAGAACUGAGAUCUCUGAGUGUCAAACUAAAAAGGAUAAGCCUGAACGUCAAAACUAAGAAGCGAUGAUGGCUCUGAACACCGAAACUGGAAACAAACCACGGCUCUGAAUGCCAAAUUGAAGAUGUGACGUGAUGACUCUAAAGACUGAACCAAAAACGAACGACCACUCUAAACGCUGAACUGAAAGUGUGACCUGAUGACUUUGAAUGAUGAACUAAAACCAUGGCUCUGAAUGCCAAACUGAAGAUGCGGCUUUGAACGCCAAACUAAACAAUGGCUCUAAAUGCCAAACUAAAAACACGGCUCUAAAUAUCGAACUAAAACAAACAAUGGCUCUAAAUGCCGAAAUGAAGAUGCAACUCUAAACGUCAAACUGAAAGAGAUAUGGUGGAUCUGAAUGCCUAACUAAAGAAAGACAUGAUGACUCUGAACGUAUAUGACGGCUCUAAGCACCGAGCUAUAAAGAGAUGGUGGCUCUGAAUGUUCAAAUUGAGAAGAGAUUAUGGCUCUGAAUGCCAAACUGAAGAACAUGGUUCUAAACGCCAAACCAAAAAAUAAAAGAUAAAUAAAUAAAAAUAAAUAAAUAAAUAAUAAAAUAAUAAAAUAAAUAAAAUAAUAAUAAAUAAAUAAAUAAAUAAAAGGUGGUUGUGAAUGCCAUAACUGAGGAAGGAUGGUGGCUCUAAACAUCAAUCGAAAAAAAAAAAAAACAUGAUGACUCUGAAUGUCGAACUAAAGGCAAACGACGGCUUUGAACGCCAAACUGUGAACGAUGGCUUUGAGCGCUGAAAUUGAAAAGAGAUGGUGACUCUGAGAGUCGAAACUGAGAAGAGAUAGUGACUCUGAACGCCAAACUGUGAACAUGACGACGAUAGCUCUGAACGCCAGAAUUGAGAAAUGAUGAUGACUCUGAACGUCGAAACUGAGAAGCGAUGAUGGCUCUGAACGCCGAAACUGAGAAUGAUGAUGGCUCUAAACAUCGAAACUGAGAAUGAUGGUGGCUCUGAAUGCCAAACUGAGAAACGAUGAUGGCUCUGAACGUCGAACUAUGAAUGAUGAUGGCUCUGGACGUCGAAACUUAGAAGUGAUAGUGGCUCUGAACGCCAAACUGUGAGCAUGACGAUGGCUCUAAACGUCGAAUUGAGACUACAGCUCUGAACACCUAAUGGAAAAUGAACGAUGGCUCUAAACGUCGAAAUGAGACUACGGCUUUGAACUCCGAAACGAGACUACGACUCUUAAUGCCCAAUGGAAAAUGGACGAUGGCUUUGAACGCCGAAAUGAGACUACGGCUCUGAACGCCCAAUGAAAAAUGAACGAUGGCUCUGAACGCCAAAAUGAGACUAACACUAUGAAUGCCAAAGUAAAUAUGCGGCUCUGAACGCAAUGGAAAAUGAACAAUGGCUCUGAAAGCCGAAAUGAGACUACAGCUUUGAACGCCGAACUGAAAAGAGGUGGUGGCUUUGAACGCCAAACAAGAAAUAAACAAUGGCUCUGAACUCCAAAUGAAAAACAAACAAUGGCUCUGAAUGCCAAACUAAAGAUGCGGCUCUGAACGUUGAGAUGACAAUGCGACUCUGAACACCAAACUGAAGGUGUGGCUCUGAACGCCUAACUAAAAUGAACAACGGCUCUGAACGCCAAAUGAAAAAAGAGCAAUGGCUCUGAACGCCAAGUGGGGAAUGAAUCUAGAUGUCGAACAAAAGGCAAACAAUGGCUUUGAACGCCAAAUAGAAGAUGUGACUCCGAACGCCAAACGGAAAAAUGGACAACUACUUUGAACGCCAAACGAGAAAUUGAACGAUGGCUCUGAACGCCAAAAUGAAACUACGGCUCUAAACGCCAAAGUAAACUGGAUAACUAUGAACGUCAAGCUGAGAAUGAUGACUCUAAACGUCGUAACCGAGAAGAUAUGGUGGCUCUGAACGCUAGGUUGGAAAUGGACGACUCUGAACGUCGUAAUUGAGAAUGAAAUGUGGCUCUGAAAGCCAAACUGCAAGGAAAUGAUGAGAGAGGAAAUAUGCCCUAGUGUAGCGUGCUACUACAGCCCUCAGUCCACGGAAAUGGUCUGAAAGAGACUCCAUGAGUCUCAAAGGAUACUCUGUUAGCGAGUCGAAAUGGUCAAAUCGACUAUAAACAUAGUCUCGCAACCCACUUGACUAGAUCACGAUGCCUGACGAGAUGUCACAAUAAGUCGAACUUCUCUAACUCAAAAUACACUACUGAAGGAAAAUGUCGUCAUCUCAAACAAAUGAUCCACUAGAGAGUCUCAAGAGAAUAGUCUGUUGGGGUAACUACCACGAUCUCAUCAAAACAAUCUACUACAGGGUCACGAAUAGUGGGACAAUCACAACUUGAACGUCACGCUCCACUGAAAGCUCAUCUUGAUGAAAAUCAUAGGAAUAGUGAACAAUAGCGCAAAUACAAUAUCUCUCGGCCGAGUGAUGAAAACUGUAACAGAUCUGUGAGAAAACCAUCACCUCUACAACUAGAUGAAGGAAAUAUGCCCUAGUAUGGCAUCAUAUGUAUCCGGUCUAUCUUAAUAACCCAAGAAUAACUCCAUGGGAGGAUAUAUAAAAGAUCUGACAUGUAUCCCACUGAAAUGAUGAUGUGGGAUCCUAUGUGCCUGAGAUGACUCCAUCAAAAAAAUCACAACAAAAUCAGAAAGUGUGAGCUUGACAAAAUGACUCAAGGGAAGGUCCACCGAAGAGUCAUGACAAAAUGAAACCGAAUCACCCACCCGACGUGUAUCUCGCGACUAGGGAUGAUCAUGCAAAUCGCUGGGGAUCUAUAAAUCUCAAUUAAAAGGGGAAUAUGCCCCAGUAUGGCAUCAAAUAUGUGAUAAGUCAGAAAAAAUCGAAUGACAUUAAAGCAUCCAUCAUCAAGUGCGUGACCCUAGUCAUCUACGUCCAUAACAGAAUCAUGCUCACAAAUCCAAGAGGUGUCUCUUGGAAAGAAGCAUGAUGACAUCUGAAUGCUGAACAAUGCAAGCCUGGCCGAAUGGCUCCAGAGAGGCUCCACUGGGGGAUCGUGAUAAAAUAACGAACACGUCCUCGUCUCGGUGUGCAUCCCGUAAGUGGGAGUGAUCAUGUAGCUCCAUGAAGAUCUAUAACUCUCAACUGAAACGGAAAUAUGCCCCAGUAUGGCAUCAGAUAUAUGGUAGGUCGAAAAAUCAGCUAACAUGAAAUCAUCUAUCAUCAAAUGUGUAAUCCCAGUAAUCCAAAUCCGUAAUUGAAUCAGAUUGGGAGUGGGCUUGCCGGCGGUGACUGGCUGGUGGUUUGUCGGUGGCAUUGAGAGAUAAUAAUAAUAAUAAUAAUAAUAAUAAUAAUAAUAAUAAUAAUAAUAAUAAUAAUAAUAAUAAUAAUAAUAAUAAUAAUAGUGUUUGGAUCAAGAGAAAGUGAGGAAAAAUGAUGGAAAAAAAGAAAUGGGGGCCGGCCAGGAGAAAAAAUGGGAAACCAAAAAAAACGGGGGGAGAGUGUUGUGGGAAGAAGAAGAAAUGGAGGAAAAAAAUGGGGGGAUGAGCCGCGUGGGAAGAACUGGGCAGAGACUAGGGCUGGAGAAAAAAAUGAGGGGGUUGAAGUUGAUGGGAGCCUGCAGUGUAGGAAGAAGAGAAAAAUGGGGAGGGGGGGGCGGCCCAAAGGGAAUUGGGGAUGAAAGAGAGAAGAGUGGGGGAGUGGUGGGGCCCGCGAUGAGGGGUAGGAAGAGAGGAGAUAGGAAAAUGGGGGAGAGAGAAGGGGUGGUCGAUGGUGAGGGGUAGAAAGAGAGAGGAGAGAGGAGAGAGAAAAAAAUAGAAUAUAAUAAUAAUAAUAAUAAUAAUAAUAAAAAUAAAAAAUAAAAAUAAAAGUAAUGGUAAUAAAAUAAAGUAAAAUAAUAUACAAAAUAAUAAAAACUAUUAGAUGGUGAAUGGAUAAAAAAAACACAUGUAAUUGGGAUUUGAAAUCUAAGCCUAAAAUUGGGCUCGAAAUUAAUGUAAAAAUAAAAUUGAGACAAAUUUUGGGAUCUACAAUGAGUUUUAUAAUAAAAAUUUUAUUUUAUUUUAUUUUUAAAACACUUCUUUUGAAUUAAAUCCUUGAUACAAUAAAAUUAAAAUUAUAAAAUAUCUAUUUUAAUUUAUUUAUAAAAUUCACAUUUAAUAAAUUUAUUUUAAUAAUUUUAUAACUUUAUUAUUUCAUAUUUAUCCAUUUUAUAAAAUAAAGAUUUUUGCUAUUAAAUAAUUUUAUUAUGAAAUUUAUCUUUUUAAAAUCAAAUUUUUUAUCCUUAGUUCUUUCAUGUAAUAAAUAAAUAUUUUAAAUAAAAAAAUCUAUUUUAAUUUAUUUAUGAGAAUUACACUGAAUCAAAAUGCAUUUUUAAUUUAUUUAUAUUGAAAUUAAUUAUUUUAUUUUUAUGUCUAAUAUAAUUAAAUUAGAAUUCAAAAUAAACUCAACUUCCUUAGUUCAAAAGAAUUAACUUUUUAUUAAAUGAUUGAUGAAAAAACUAAAAAUUAUUAUUUUAUAUUUUAAAAUAAUAUUGAUAUAAAAUAAAAAUGAAGAUGAAAUUUAAUAAUACAUUAUUUUAAUUUAUUAUAAUAGUAUAAAAUAUCAUUACAUAAUCUCCCACUACUAAAUUGUUAUCUUCCGAAAUUCAAUAUAAAUACAAUUUUAUUUAGUUGUUGAUAAAAAAUAAAAAAAAUAAAAAAAAUAAAAAAGCCUCAAACAAGAAAGUAACAGCAAAUUCUUUUUUUUUUUUUUACACUCCACAUUAAAGGUCACAAUUAAAUAUAUAAAUUUAAGGGUCAAAAAUCUAUGUUUGAUGUACCACGUGGGACCAUAAAAUUCUCCUCAUAACAACUCUCCACUUUAUGUGUGAAGUGACCAAACAACUCUAAAGGGUAUUUUGGGCCUCUUUAGAGUUUAUAUCCUUCGUUAUAUGACUUAGAAGGACGAUCAGCCCAUUAUCAGUAAGUCAACCGCCAUUGUUUCUUCAUCGACUUGCCGACCUCUCAAACUUGAGAUUGAAAAAUCAGCUCACACAAGGCCUUGAAAAUUUCUUUGAAGCUUCGGAUUAGCAAGAUUUCUUAAGAGGACAAAGAAAACCUAUUCAAACCAUAAGCUUGAGUGAGCCACACGGCUUUGGAGUUGAGAAAAAUGAUCAAAAUUUUGAAAAUUACACCUAGCCUGACCUUAGCCUAUAAAUAUGUCCAAUCUUCUACAACUAUAGCAAAGAUUAGAAAGAAACGAUGGCAAGAGUUUUGAUGGCAAUAGGUGGUGGAGGGGAAGUGGGCAUGGUGGCUUCGAGCUCUGGGGCUCUCUUUUUGCUUUGCAUGGUCAUUAUGUCCCUCUCAAUUCUAUCCAUGGUCAUAUUUGCUUGCGGUGAAUCUUCUAGUACUCCACAUCCCAAGAAAAGACACCAUGGUGGAGGAGUCGACCAUGGUGGAGGAGUCGUCCACCAUGGUGGCAGUGGUUGUGGAGGGGGAGGUGGUGGCGGUGGUGGUUGUGGAGGUGGCGGUGGCGGUGGAGGUGGAGGUUGCUGAAGAAAAAGCAAAAUAGUUUUUACUCAAAAUAUCCUACAAAUGUCAUAGAAUGGCCUUUUUCUUAUGAAAUAAACCUCAAAAUUCUUGUCUUCAAUGUUAGAAUCCAUGUGAGCAAGUCCUAGUGAAGGUCGAUGUAUUUGUUGAUAUUUUCUUUGUAUUGAAGAUUAUUUAACAAUAUAUAUGAUGUCUUUUAUCUUGAUAUUUUCUUUGUAUUGAAGAUUAUUUAACAAUAUAUAUGAUGUCUUUUAUCUUCUGUUUCCUUUUUAUAAAUAGCAUGAAUGUAAAAGAGAUUUCAUCUUUUACAAAGUCCCUUUGACAACCACAUGGUCCAGUACCGUUAAAAACUGUGGCAGCUUGAUAAGAUGGAUGGACUUCCUAGUUUUGACAAUUAAUCAAUUUAACAAACCUUCAUC